UUUUUUUUUUUUUGGGCUUAGAUAUUGUAUAGGACACUAGCUAGGCAUAUUUCUUUUUCUCUUUCAAAUAAAUAUGUUUUAAUUUAAUUACCUUCAUAGAAGAGUUGCGGAAGGAAACAGAAUAUGAAUCUCUGAUUGAGAAAAGUUGGAAGAGUCUUGGAAAGAUUUAGCAUUUUUUUUAGUUAGUUUCUUUUUUUUUGAGAUAUCAAUUGUCUUAAAAUAAUAUCUUACUACAAUUUGAAUGCCCUUUGGAGUAGAGCUAAUUAAUUUAAUGCCUUUUGUUGUAUCAUUUUUUCCAAGGACUUUAGAUUCUAUUUCUGCCACUUUCCGUUGUGAGAUUAUUUAGCUCUCAGUAUAAAACAAAACAGGCCGUGGGUUUCACUUCUAGAAUUCUCCAUGGCGGAUAAAUAUGAUUUUGAACUAAGAACAGGGUACACCCAGUCGAUGUCAAUGGUAGGUAGAAAAUCUGCAUCAUCCUUGAACACAUCCCUUGUGACAAGUUAAGGAGCUAAAAACAAAACGAGGGAGAUUAAAUUAACCACAAGGUUGCUUUUGAUACUUGAUAGAAAAAGGCAUGAGCCGGCUAAUUUGAAAUACUUGAGGAAGCUGCUGUGGACUUACGGGGAAAGCCAAUUAGUACACAAUAAUACACCAUUUUUUAGAGAUGGAAAUCUGCAAGUGGAGUUCGGUAAGACACUGCGGUUGUAAUUGUGGGUUCCAGGCAUCAAAAUAAUGCAACAUAGAUUAUUCAAGAAUAUAUAAGGUGAUUGGUAAGAAAACUUUUUAUACAACUGCAGGAGCUAGAAGAUGACAAUGUGGUGCAGCUAGCAUAAGGUAUGCAGCAAUUGUAGUUUAGUGCAGAUUAGGUGUCAGAUGUGAGUGAAAGUAAUUUAGUGCUUCUGGGCUCAUUCCAAUAUGAUUAUGGUUAAAUGCCACUAACGGAGCAUGUGUUUGAAUGUGACCGCGAGAUUUUUUAUUUAGAUAAAAUAUAGAAAAGCCCCUUAAGGUUAAGUGAAUAUACAAAAAAGUCAUCUAUAGUUUCAAAACAUACACUCCGAUAUCUCACGGUCUGAACUAAUUUAAAAAGCAACGGAAAUCGUCAGAAUUAAUGGGUUUGAAAUACAAGCGCUUCUUUUGCAAGUAUUUGUAUUAGAAAUAAAUAAAUUUUUAAUUGAUAUACCUAUUGCACCCUUAGAGUUAUAAUACAGAAAAAUUCCCUGUGGUUAAGCAAAUCUAUAGAACAAGUCCCUUAUAAUUUCAAAUCAUAUAAUCCAGUACCUCGUGGUUUAAACUAAUAUGAAAAAUCGACAAAAAUCACUUAAGUUAAAGAGUUUGAGGUAUCUUGACAUGGAAAAUAAUUUUUUAAAUCAAAAUUUUUAGCUAAUAUACCUAUUAAACCCCUUAGAACUCAUAAAAUUUUCAAAAACAAUCCAAAACUGCCAAAUACAACUCACCUUAUUCUAUACAUAAAUAAAUAAACAAAAGUUUCCCAAUAAAACUCACCUUGUUUCUAUACACAAAAUAAAUAAACAAAAACUUUCAAAUACAACUUACCUUAUUCCUAUGCACAAAAUAAAUAAAUAAAAGUAAAAUAUAACCAUAGAGGGCUUUUCCGUAGGUUGGCUUAAUCACAAGGGAUUUUUCCAUAAGUUUGCUUAAUAGGAUGGUUUUUAGAAGGUCUUUUAUUGCUUAUAUAUGUUAGGCAACUCGCUUGCAUCAACCCAACAAAGAAUAUCAUCCAAAUUACAUUGUUUAAGAUAUUUGUCUACUGUUAAAACCCAACCAAAAUAUAUAUGUCUAUUUGUGCUUAUAGGAGUCAAUAUGGCAAAAUUGUCACCAUCAAUCAGAUAUCUCUCUAAUAUUCUGUCAUUAUUUAACAAUUCAUAUACUUGAAUAAAUUUUUCUCUCUCUUCUGUCAAGUUUUUCUGGCUUUCUUGGUUGAUUGACCAAUCAAAUCCUUCAAUCUGACAACCCGUAGCUAGGGGUGGGCGUGGGUCGGGUACCCGUUCCAUUCACCAUUUGGCUGACUCGACCCGCACCUUGCCGGUCAGCCAUUUUUUGAUCCUUACCCACCCCGUAUAUCAACGAGUACCCUAUAAUCGGGUACCCGCUGAGAUAGGGUCGGGUCAACGGGUACCCGUCCCGUCCCAUUUAUCAUUUAAUUUAAAAAAAAUGAUUUAUACCAAUUUAAUUUUAUAUUUUACACAUUCAUCUAAGAUUUGACAAAUGUUUUUUUUCUAAUAAAAGGUUUCCCACCAAGAAACAAGCAUGUGAAGAAAAUAUAAGAUAAAGGAAAAAAAUUAAAAGAAUUUGAAAUCAAUAAAAGUUUGAAAUAAGUAGCACAAUUUUUAAUAAAUAUGUUCCACAUUAAUUAAACUUUUUUCUAUAAAAUCUAAUGGCCUCUACAAAUGAAUCUUGUAAAUAAACUAUAGUCUCUUAUAUUUGUAAUGCAAUUUGUUCAAUAAAAUUACUUAUUUAGUUCUUAUUAUUUUAUAGUGUGUGUAUAAAAAUAAAAAUAAAGUAAAUAUAUAUAUGCGGGGUGGAUCGGGUACCCGCAGGUUUUUAAUUAUAUGACCUUAACCCGCCCCACAUCUUAGCGGGUACCCGACCCUCUUUUGACCCGAUCAAAUAAUAAAAAUCGGAUAUCCUAAUUUUCGGAUCAGAUCGGAUAUGACGGGUUUUCGGGUUAGCGGAUAAUUUUGCCCACCCCUACCCGUAGCAAUCAACAAAUUUGGCAAGAUUCCUCUCCGAUCUCUAUUUUCACACUCGUAACAAUCUAACAAUUUUCGGACCAAUCUUAUGACCAAAUCCUUCACCAACUACACAUUUCAUAGCCAAAUUUAUGGUCUAAUUCGAUUAACUAAAUAUUUUUCGACAACUUUAUAUCCUAAUUCUCUCACAGUAGAAAUACCCAAGACUAACCUCAUAAUAGAGGUGGCAAAUCAACCCAUUUAACUAGAUUUACCCAUACCCGCCCAUGAAUAGAUGGGUAUGGGUAUCUUAAAUUUUUGUAUAUGGGUAUAAAUGGGUUACCCAAUAAUACCCAUUUAUUAAAUGGGUAUUAUUGGGUAACCCAUCAAACCCAAUUAACCCAUUUAAAAUUCUCUUCCCCCCAAGUCUCUUCUUUUCCCCUACCUUUUUUUUUCAAAUUUUUCAUUUUGUCAUGAUGUUAACAUUAUUAGUAUUAUUAUUAUUAUUUGUUGGUUUUAUCUUAUUAUUUUAUUUUUUCUUAGUUUGUUAACUUGCUCAUUUUUUAGCAUUACCAAUUUAUGAUAAAUUUUAGCCUAUUUUCUUAUCUUUAUAAAAUGAAAAUUUAAAUUUAUAUAUGAAAAAAAUGUUAGGGGUUCAAAAUUUUUGGAUUAAGUUUUUAUAUUAAUUUUUAUAGUACUUAAUUCAAAUUUUUAUAUUCGUAUUAUUCAAUUAUUAAAUAAUAAGUAAUUUUGUGACAUAGAGUAUAAAUGAAAAAAAUUGGUAAUUAAGUUUAUUGAACAUUAUAAGUAAAUAUUUAAAACUAAUGAUGGGUACAAAGAGUGGUAUAAAUUGAUAACUUAGUUUGCAAAAAUGAAUUUAAAUGAGUUUGCAAAAAGUUAAAAUAAAUGAGUUAUAAAUGGGUAAUUGGGUUACCCAAUUCAUUUUUUGACUUACCCAUUUAUACCCAUCUAAUUAAAUGGGUAUAAAUGAGUUGACUCACUUAUACCCAUUACCCAUUUUACCCAACCCAAACCCACCCAAGUCACCCAUUUUGACACCUCUACCUCAUAAUCUAGCUCUAAUACCAAUUGUAGAACCCAAAAUUUUAGGAUUCUAAUAAUAAUUAAUAUGUGCAAGGUUAUAGAAUUGAAGGGACAAAACAAACACUCAAAAUAUAUGUGGGAGAGAAGAAAAUAAUAAACUCACAAUAUUAUUGAAAUUUCAAACAAUGAAGAAAGUUACACCAUAAUAGAAAACGUGACAAACUCUACUAGAUUCUCUCUAGAAAACACCCUAAAUAACGUCCUAUUUAUAAUUUACCAAAUUUGUUUGGAAAGAAACCACUUGCAUGAGAAAUUACCAAAUAAAACAUAAAUUUCUAAAUUGCACAACUAUUAAAAUCUAACUCCAAUAAAACUAAUAAAUAAACACUUUUAGAUUUGGUUUAGUUUGCCAACACUUUUCUUCAUUAGAAAUUCCCAAACAAGUUAACGAUAAAAAUGUUAGGAAGAAUUAAGGACACAGGAAAUAUUGAAGAAAUUAAGACUCUGCAAAUUCAAUACGUGGAAAUCCAUAGAAAAAUUUUUUGGAAGAUGCAAAAGCAUUAGUAAACCAAAGAAAAUUUUUUGUGAUUAUGUGUUACAAUCUUAUAAUUUCCAGAGAGAGUUGCAGUUUUAGUCUCUAAUGUUUGGUCUAUCUGCUAAAUUGGUCAGUGACCCAUCUUAAAGUGAUAAUCCAUCUUUUUGAAUAAACAAUUCAAAAGUGAAUUAAAGAAUGAUUAAAGGUAAAGGGUUGCUGCUUAAGCUUCUCAAUCAUAGCAUGCAGCGAUUGGCAUUUGAGGUGGGCAUAAGGUGUAAACUGACGAGGGAAGUUAACAAAUAUUCGUAGAUCCUAUGCAGACUCCAUCGUUGUACAUAUAAACAAAUCUUAAUUCUGAAAUAAAACAAAUAUGAUUUAAUGGAAAAAUAUUGUGAGGAUUUACAUCAUUUUACAUUUUAUACUUGAGGCACAUGUCGUGACGAGAAAUAAUAGAUUCAUUCUAUUCCUUUGUGCUUCAGUAUGUACACUUUGUAUAGUUUUUUUGGCCGUUAUCCAUGCAUUGUUAAGGUAUACCAUAUCAAUAUAACUUACCAUUUUGAAAAGAAAACAAUAUAAAACAAAUAUGACAAAGAAAUUCAAUUUAAUUCUAUGAUGUUUUACUAGUCACCUACGUCUGCGAUUUGAGUCAUCGAUGAAUAGAUGGAAUACCCCACGCUUGAUCUUUUUUGAAAGGAAAAGAAUAAAAGCAAAAUAAAGAAGGUAAAAUAAUUAUUAAAUAUUUAAUAAGACUUUCUGGCUUGCAUCCACAAGGCACUUGUGUCCAAAAAUAUCCACACACAAUUCCUAGGUACCAAGUGUGAUAAGUAACGCGUUUUUGUAGGAACAAGCUGAGAGUCUGAGGCCCCCGGGGCAGCUGAGAGUCAGACAGUUUUCGUAGUUUCCUCUUUAGGAGCAGGUCUUAAAUUCGAUUUCCGGGAGCUACUGUGCUGUGAUCCUUGGGGCAGGACUCUCACAGUUUGGAAAGAGUAGUUUGGCCCGUUCAGGUAAUUUUGGUCAGGUCAGGAUACUUCUCAGUCGAAAAAAAAAGAAGCUAAGAGUCUGAGACCCCUUACGAGGAAAUGGAUGCCUUUUGACUGUGGUUUAUUUUGAAGUUAUGAAAAAUAAAAAAGCUACAGCUUUCUGAGAUAUUCUACGAUUGCAACAGUGAAGUCUCACCAAACUACUCCACCACAUGCAGAUUUCCAUACCUAGAAAAUGGUGGAUUAUUGUGUACUAAUUAUCUGUUGAAGUGGAAAUGUGCAAAGGUUUUGGAAUCAAGUAUAUUGGACUGUUUUCCCUAUUGUCUUUUCGAUACGUGUUCGCUUGGAAAUUUCUUAUUCUCAUGCUUUAUCCCCACCGCCACAUGAGAAAAGAUGUUAACAGUAAAGGAUGUCCAAAAAAUGAAAGAAAAGCGGAAUGUAGCAUAUAAAAUGAAAAUGGCUUUCUUACUCUUAAUUUAAGAUACGAGACAAAUAAAUAAGUACACAUUAAAUCCCUAUUUAAAAAAUAAUUAAUUACAAAAUCCAAAGAAUAAGUGUAUCAUAUUUAUUUAGAUUUACAUGUUUGGAUUGCAAAUUUUUCCAAAAAAAAUUGUUACUUUUUCCGUGAUCACAUUUUUCAAUCACCUUUCUACCUUACAUAUGUCAAAUCGUUUUCAGAAAAUAGUAAUCCAAACGAGAUUGAAUUUGAAACUCGUAGUAUAAAACCUAUUUACCAAAUAUCCCUUAAACUUUAAACAGUUUUUUUCUCUUGAAGGAUAAAACUUUAAAUAGUUAAUGCAAGAAACAUUUGGGGUCUAUCGUGUUGGUAAAUUCAAAUGUGAGGCAAAAAGUGGAGCUGUGUGGAAUGGAUCCUUGUAUACCGUCUAAUAUCUUGCAAUAAUUGAGCAAAAGUUGUGGAAUACAUAAAAAGAUGUAAAGUAAAUCGUAAAAAGCUGUUAAUCAAGCUCAAAGAGUCAAGGCCCAGUAGGAGUAGUACCAAGGAAGCAAUCCCUUUCUCCUAAGUAAAAAAAUAUAUAUAUCCUUUCUCAAUCCAUAUUCCAGAAUCGAAUAAUCAUCCUUUAUUUAUUCACUAUUAUAUAUGUUCAAUACUUAUAGGGGGCGCUUGGUUCAAGUUUAGGAAUUGGAAUUGUAAUUGGAAUCAUACAAACAAACUUAGUAUGGGUUUUGGACAAAGAUAUGAUUACAAAUGAGGUGUUUGGUAAAUAUUGGUAAGGAAUGGGUAUCAAAUUUAAUAAUCAAUUUUUUACCUUUAAUUUCGUUUUUCUUUUCAUAUCUUUCUUCUUCCUCGUUCAAAUGCUUAUCCCACAUACCCAUCCACCAUAUAUAUAUAUAUAUAUAUAUAUAUAUAUAUAUAUAUAAUAUAUAUAUAUUCAUAUAUAAAUGUAAAUAUUUUGUUUAAAAUAUAUUUAUAAAUAUAUUUAUAUAAAUUUAUAAAUAUAUUUAUUUCAAUUUUGUUUUAUAAUAUGUAAAUUAAUAUAUAUUAAUAUGUAUAUUUCAAUUAUGUAUAUUAAUAUGUAUAUUAUAUAUAUUAUAUCAAUUGAAAUAAAUAUUAUAUAUUUAUAUAUAAAUAUUUUUGUUUAAAAUAUAUUUAUAUAAAUAUAUAAAUAUAUUUAUUUCAAUUUUGUUUUAUAAUAUGUAUAUUAAUAUGUAUAUUUCAAUUUGUAUAUUUCAAUUAAUAUUUAUAUUUUAUUAUAUAUAAAUUAUAUUAAUAUUUAUAUUUAUAUUUCAAUUAUGUAUAUUAAUAUUAAUAUGUAUAUAAAAUGUAUAUUAAUAUAUGUUAAUAUAUAUUUAUAUAUUGAUAGGGUAUAAUUUGUUAGUAAUUUUAUUAUUAAUUUCCCCUUCUAUCCAGGACAAAUAUUGUGUUAAUUGUUGAUAUUCACUCAUAUUUGGUAUUUGGACCCAAUUCCAGGAGUGGAGCAGAUAAGUACAAAAAGAGGGACUUUUGGAUGCAAAUUUGGGAGACUUUGGCAGAGAGAACUUGAAGGCUUGGGCCUUUGACUUCGGUGGGGACCACGGAGGAAAGGACAAAAAAGGCUUUGGUCCUUUGGUUCUUGAAAAAAAAGCAACGUACAAAAGCCUAAGAGGACUAAGAAGAAAGGCGGUAGCUUGUGACCAAUCAGUGGGGACCGCUGGAUAUCUUUCUUUUGUUUCUUUUUAAAGGCAACUAACGUACGGAGGCAGGGGACCGUUUUUUAGUUCAGCUUCUUAGCCUAGUCUUUAGUUUUUAGUUUUUCUUUCUUUUUUCCUUUGACUGGCCUCUGACACACGCCAGGUGUUCGACAAAAUUCCCCAACGGGAAAAACAUCCUUCAUUCCUUACUUUUUAGCCAAAAACAAUGCCUUCGCAAUUUAUUAAUUCGUGUGGUGACUUAAUUAUGCGGCGUGGCUAAAUCUUCCAUCUAGUCAAGGGUCAACUCGACGGCGCAGUCCCGAAAAUCUGUGAGAUUUAAUUAGUUUUCACGCGUUCCUUAAUUUAUUCAUAUUUGCACGUUGCCUGCUUGUAUUUUCAUGAGAUUAUUUUAUUAAUUGGAUGUCAAGGGCCCGAUGUUCAAUGUGAUUUAUUAAUCUCGUGCCAAUUUAGUCAAUUAAAUCCGUAAUUGUUUGUUUGAUUAAUAUUAGUGGCAACUGGUGUGUUUACACAUUAGGAGAACGUGCGAUCUAAUUUAAAUAACCCUCGUAGCGUGUUAUUGGUUAGGGCUAGGUUUUUCUAAUAUUAAUGCAAUUGGGAAAUUAAUUCCUAUGGUCGUACCUAGGAGUAUUUGCUGAUUAGGGGUAAUCAACGGUCGUACCUUGGUUAUCAAUAAUUUAAGGAAAAAUUGGUCAUCAGACUAUAACUAGCCUAUUAAUGAAUUAAGUGAACCUCUCCUGCAUCAAUGAUCGGAUAAGUGGACUGUGCCUGAGUAGUUGCAUCCUUGGCUAGAAUUUAUUUAUUCCUGAUUAAAUUCCUGCUAUAUUUGUGCUAGUGAUUUAUUCAUUUUUAAUUAAAUUGUCUAAUUAUUUUUAGUUUCAUUCCGAUAAAAUCCCCCCUUAUCAAUUGGACUUUAAAAAAGAGACAAACAUCUCCAGUCCCUGAGGAGACGACCCUACUUGCCACUGUCUACUAUUCAUUAAUUUUUGUCAAUUAAUUAAUACUGGUAUAUCGGAUUAAGUAAACUCUUCGGGAACAGGGUGAAUCAAGUAACCCAUUGCACACCUAGAGUCCCUGCUCCAGUACCUAGGAUUAAUUAUUGACUGCUUUUAGUGGUAGCUAGGUUCUAUAUUUAUUACUAUUAUUGCACAGGCCGACGACCUGUCAAUUUUUGGCGCCGUUGCCGGGGACUGGCGUUAUUGUUUGUUUCCCUUUUAAAUUCAUUUUGUGUCCUAAUUUUCUGGUUUUCUUCUAGUGUAUGCCUCGAUCUUCUCGCACAGGUGAUUUGGUUUUUGACCCUGAGGUAGAGAAGACCGCGCGUAGAACGAGAAAGGAGACCAGACAACUCAGAGAGGAGCACUACAGUGCUGCAUCUGAGAGUUCUGAACCAGGAGUUGACCCAACAGAUUCGUUUGGCGACACUUCAAGUGACUCUGACCAGGAGGAAGGAACAAUGGCUAAUGCACAGACAUUAAGGGAGUUGGCUGCUCCUGAUUUAACUCAGCAACCUUUAUGCAUUACUUUCCCUGCUUUAAAUGACAAUAUUCCAUUUGAACUAAAAUCUGGUCUGAUCCAGCUUUUACCCUCUUUUCAUGGUUUACCAGGUGAAGAGCCGUAUAAGCAUCUGCAGGAGUUUGAUGUCGUGUGCAAUAGUAUGAAACUCCCGGGAAUCACAGAGGAGCAGAUAAAAAUGAGGGCAUUCCCCUUCUCCUUGAAAGAUUCUGCGAAGGAUUGGCUUUACUACCUGUCACCAGGUAGCAUCACCACGUGGGGCCAAUUGAUGAAAAAAUUUCUGGAUAAAUAUUUUCCUGCGUCCAGGGCUGCAAGUCUAAGGAAGGAAAUUUGUGGGAUCAAGCAGCAUCCAGGGGAGUCACUUUACGAAUAUUGGGAACGGUAUAAUAACUUGUUGCGCAGGUGCCCCCAACACCAAAUAAGUGAGCAGUUGAUCAUACAAUAUUUUUAUGAGGGACUCAUUUUUAGAGACAGGAGCAUCAUAGAUGCUGCAAGUGGAGGGGCACUGGUGAACAAAACCCCUCAGGAAGCACGGGAGCUAAUAGAGGGGAUGGCAGAGAAUUCACAGCAAUUCAGUACAAGAGAGGAUGUCCCAAUACGUAGGGUGAAUGAGGUAGAGACACCCUCCAUACAGCAGCAGUUAAAUGAGUUGACUGCGUUUGUUAGGCAACAGGCGGUGAGAAAUGCAUCACAAGCCAGGGUAUGCGGGAUUUGCACUGGUAUAGGCCACUCUGCAGACAUGUGCCCAAUGAUUCAGGAAGAAACUGCAGAACAGGUGAAUAUGGCUGACCACGCGCCCGCGCCAAGGAAGCAGUACGACCCUUAUUCAAGCACCUACAACCCCGGAUGGAGAGAUCAUCCCAACCUCAGUUAUGGAGGGAAUAGGCAACCCAACUUUGCACAAAACAGACAGUCUAACUUUGGGCCAAAUAAGCCGCCAGGGAGGUACCAGCAGCAAUACCAACCCCGACCGCCUCCGGCCCCAAGCGCUGGUCCAUCUUUGGAGGAGAUGAUGAAACAAGUGAUGACAGACAUGGCGAAAAAUCAGCAAAGGACGGAGGCAACCAUUAUGCAAUAUCAGCAAAGGACAGACUCCGAAAUACAGGAUAUAAGGAAUCAGAUGAGUCAAAUGGCCACAACAAUCAACCGUUUGGAUUCCCAGAACCAAGGUAAAUUGCCAUCUCAGCCUGAAUUAAAUCCGAAGAAUGUGAGUGCCAUGACCCUGAGGAGUGGCAAGGAGGUUCAAGGGCCUGAGCUUGUGAUCCCCAAGGACAAGGACGAGGAGAAGAUCGAGAAUGAGCUAGAGAAAGAGGAUAGCAAUGGUGCAAAUCCAAAGGUACUUCCUGACCCAAUAAUUACAGUUAAGACUAACCCGCCUCCUUUUCCUAGCAGGUUGGAAAAAUCAAAGAAGCAGGAUAAGGAGAAGGAAAUCUUGGAGGUUUUUCGCAAGGUUGAGAUAAAUAUCCCCCUCUUAGACGCCAUCAAACAAGUACCAAAAUAUGCCAAGUUCCUAAGGGACUUGUGUGUCAACCGAAGGCGAUUGAGGGGAGAUGAACGGGUCAUAGUUGGGGAAAAUGUGUCUGCGGUCCUGCAGAGAAAGCUUCCACCAAAGUGCGGGGACCCAGGUAUGUUUACUAUUCCCUGUAGGAUAGGUAAUACUGUGAUCAGAAGGGCCAUGUUGGAUCUGGGAGCAUCAAUUAAUGUCAUGCCUAAAUCUAUCUAUGCUUCUUUGAAACUAGGUCCAUUAAAAGAAACUGGAAUAAUUAUUCAAUUAGCUGACCGAACUAAUGCAUAUCCUGAUGGGUUGAUUGAAGAUGUGUUGGUAAAGGUUAAUGAUUUGGUGUUUCCAGCUGAUUUUUAUGUACUUGAUAUGGAUGAUGAUCACUCCCCUGAUCCCUCACCUUUGUUAUUGGGUAGACCUUUUAUGAGCACUGCACAGACGAAAAAUUGAUGUUAAUAAGGGUACCUUGUCCAUGGAGUUUGAUGGGGAAAUUGUGCAUUUUAAUAUUUUUGAUACUAUGAAGUACCCCUCUAACUCCAACUUUAACUCAGUUUUUUCUGUGAGUGCUAUUGACCCUGUAGUGCAGGAAGUGUUUGAAACUGAUGGCAGGGAUGAUGCUGGAGGUGGCUUUAACCAAGCACCUCGAGUUGGAGACAACUCCUCUGGUGGAGUGGAGUGAGGAUUUAAAAUGCACAAUAGGUGCAUUACACUCAUUGCAGAACACCACGAAGAGGUAUGAAGUCUUGCCUAUUUUUACUCCCGAACCUCACCAGAGGGUAUUGCCGUCUGUGGUGCAGGCACCUGUACUGGAGUUGAAGCCCCUGCCAGAGCACUUGAAGUAUGCGUAUCUGGGUGACAAUGAGACACUCCCAGUGAUUAUCUCAUCGGCACUGUCAAAGACGCAGGAAGAGAAAUUGAUUCGGCGUCCUUCGGGAGCAUAAAGAAGCGAUAGGCUGGACAAUCGCAGACAUUAAGGGGAUCAGGCCGGCCAUUUGUAUGCACCGGAUUAGACUAGAAGACGAUGCCAAACCUGUUAGGCAGGCUCAAAGAAGGCUCAAUCCCCUCAUGAUGGAAGUUGUAAAGAAAGAGAUUCUAAAAUUGCUAGAUGUGGGGAUCAUCUUUGCAAUAUCUGAUAGUCCUUGGGUGAGUCCGGUCCAGGUAGUCCCAAAGAAGGCAGGGGUGACGGUAGAGGCCAACCAAACAGCGGGAGCUCGUGCCAGUGCGCAAACCCACAGGAUGGAGGCAGGUAUAGACUACCGGUAGGCUGAACGCCGUCACUAAAAAGGACCAUUUCCCUCUCCCUUUCAUUGACCAAAUGGUUGAACGUUUAGCUUGUAGGGCUUAUUAUUGCUUUUUGGAUGGAUUUUCAGGAUACUUUCAGAUAGCAAUUGCCCCGGAGGAUCAAGAGAAGACAACCUUCACGUGCCCGUUCGGGACCUUUGCCUACAGACGAAUGCCAUUUGGGUUGUGCAAUGCACCUGCGACUUUCCAAAGAUGUAUGGUAAGCAUCUUUUCUGAGUAUGUUGAGAAAAUAAUAGAAGUUCAUUGGAUGAAUGGAUUGCAGUGUUGUGUGUAUGGUGAUAGCUUUGAUACGGUCUAGAUAACCUGAAAUUGAUCCUGAUAAGGUGUAUAGAGACUAAUCUUGUGCUUAAUUGGGAAAAAUGUCAUUUUAUGGUUGAGCACGGGAUAGUCUUGGGUCAUAUUGUAUCGUCUAAGGGCAUAGAAGUAGACAAGGCUAAAAUAGACAUUAUUUAUGCAUUACCCUUACCCGCGACGUGUGCGGGAGGUGCGCUCUUUUCUUGGACAUGCAGGUUUUAUCGAAGGUUCAUCAAGGAUUUUUCAAAAAUUGGAGCCCGUUGUUCCAACUCCUACAAAAAGAUGUAGCCUUCGAGUUUUGAUGACAAGUGUGAGAGAGCCUUUGACAAGCUGAAGGAAUUGUUAACUUCACCCCAAUCAUCAACCACCCCGAUUGGAAUAUGCCAUUUGAGAUCAUGUGCGAUGCCAGUGAUCAUGCUGUUGGGGCUGUACUGGGGCAAAGAGUAGGAAAGGCGCGUCCAUGUCAUCUAUUACGCAUCCCGGGCCUUGAAUGGAGCCCAAUUGAAUUACCUCCACCACUGAGAAGAGCUUCUGGCCGGUUAUUUUUGCUUUAGAAAAAUUCAGGUCAUAUUUGUUAGGUGCUAAAGUAAUUGUAUUUUCUGCGAUCAUGCAGCAUUGAGGUACCUAAUGGCCAAGAAAGAUGCAAAACCGAGGCUCAUCAGGUGGAUAUUGCUACCUACAGGAAUUUGACCUGGAAAUAAGGGAUAAAAGAGGUUCAGAGAAUUUAGUAGCUGACCAUCUGAGCUCGUAUACCCGUUGGAGAGGAUAAUGAACCGUUGAGGGAUGCAUUCCCAGAGCACUUAUUUUCUUUAAAUUCUCAGUUGCCUUGGUAUGCUGAUUUAGUCAAUUAUUUGGUAACUGGUAACUUUCCUGCAGGUUGGCAAAAAUCGAAGAGGGAUAAAUUGAAGAGCGACGCCAAGUAUUUUAUCUGGGAUGACCCGUACCUAUGGAAGAGGUGCAGAUCAAGUGAUGCGGAGAUGUGUAAGUGAAGUGGAAUUUCAAUCAAUUUUAGCUUUUUGUACUUUUGCCUGUGGAGGUCAUUUUGGACCCAAGAGAACUGCUCAUAAGGUUUUAGAAAGUGGAUUUUAUUGGCCUUCAUUGUUUAAGGAUGCCUAUGUGUUUUGUAAGUCAUGUGAUCGCUGUCAAAGGGUAGGUAAUAUAGCCCGUAAAGAUCAUAUGCCCCAAGUCCCGAUGAUUUUUGUAGAAAUUUUUGAUGUCUGGGGUAUAGAUUUCAUGGGACUUUUCCUACUUCAUUUGGUUUUCUGUAUAUUUUGUUGGCAGUUGAUUAUGUGUCUAAAUGGGUGGAGGCUAAGGCCACUCGAACUAAUGACUCGAAAGUGGUUGCAGAUUUUAUCAGAUCUAAUAUUUUUGUGCGAUUUGGAAUGCCAAGAGCUAUUGUCAGUGAUAGGGGAACGCACUUCUGCAACAAAACCGUAGCUGCUUAUUUCGCAAGUAUGGUGUACUCCACAGAGUCUCGACGUCGUAUCACCCGCAGACCAAUGGUCAAGCGGAGGUGUCGAAUCGGGAGAUAAAGUCUAUCUUGGAGAAAAUGGUGCGCCCGAUAGAAAAGAUUGGAGUCAACGGUUGGAAGAUGCACUCUGGGCCUAUCGGACGGCAUACAAGACACCUAUAGGGAUGUCUCCCUAUAGGUUGGUAUUUGGUAAGCCGUGUCAUCUUCCAGUAGAGUUCGAGCAUAAAGCAUUUUGGGCGGUUAACAAUGCAAUAUGGAUAUUGAGGGGGCGGAAUCCAAAGGAAGUUACAAUUACAGGAGUUGGAGGAGAUCCGCAAUGAAGCUUAUGAGAAUGCGGUAAUUUAUAAGGAGAAAAAUAAAAUUUUUCAUGACCAACAGAUCUCAAGGAAGACAUUCGAGUGUGGGCAAAAAGUUCUACUGCACCACUCCAAAUUGCAGUUAUUUCCAGGUAAAUUACGUUCUCGUUGGAUUGGCCCUUUUGUUGUGACUAAUGUCUUCCAUUAUGGUGCAGUCGAGAUCCAAAGUUUGAAAGCUGAGAAGAAAUUUGUAGUGAAUGGUCAUCGUCUCAAGCCGUAUUAUGAAGGGGUUCCAACUGAACGGGUGGAGGUGAUGCACUUGGAGGAUCCUACCUGCUUAGUUUAAGCAAAUUUUUGGACAAUGUCUAGCCAAAGACAUUAAAGAAAGGCGCUCAUUGGGAGGCAACCCAAUUGUUUCUUUUAAAUUGUUUGUUGGUUUCGUAGCAUAGUUUAAAUCUGCUUUCCCUGAAUUUGACUGAUUUUGGGUAUUAGUUUUCGUUUUUGCUGAUUUGUAGGUGACCUUCGGUCAUGACGUGCCCGCGGGUGAUGUGCAGGACGCUCACAAUCAGGAAUUUCUGAACUUCUGGGAGCUCUCCUGCCCUCAUGACGUGCCCGCGUGGUGAUGUGCAGGACGCUCACGAUCAGGAAUUUCUGAACUUCUGGGAGCUCUCCUGGCUUCAUGACGUGCCCGCGUGGUGAUGUGCGGGAUGCUCACGAUCAGGAAUUCUGAAACUUCUGGGAGCUCUCUUGGCCUUAUGACGUGCCCGCGUCACGUUCGCGGGAAAGGUAAGGAUUCAAAUAAAGAGAAAGAAAUAAAAUGAAAAAAAUGUAGGAAAAAUUGUUAUUAUUCCAUUUAUUCGAAUAAUAAAAAAAAAUAAAUAAAUAAAAAUAAUAAUAAUAAAUAAAUAAAAAAUAAAAAAAUAAAAAUAAAAAAAAACAAGAAGAAGAAGAAUCUUUCCCCUAAACCGUAGCAAUUUCUUAGUCAAAAAAAAAAACAAAAAAAAAAAAAAAACCCCUUUUCUUUUUCUUUCUUUUCUUCUUUCUUUCUUUCUUUUCUUUCUUUCUUUUCUUCUUCUUUCUCUCUUCUUUCUUCCUUCUCCGCUGCGUCUCCUUUCCCCUUUUGGCCGCCGCUUCAAACCGCACGCCGCGACUGUCGCCGCCUCCACUGCAGCCCUUCACCAUCGUCGAGCGGACAUCCACCAGCCCACAUCGCGCCCGCCAGACAGUGCCUCCGCUGUCCGCUACCCACUGCCGCCCGCGACCCCAGCCAGUCGCGGCCCAAGCUGCCGCUGCGCGCCGCCGCUGCCCAGUCUUUCGCCGAGCAGCGCAGCCACAGCCAGAUCUACACCCCAGCUCGCCGCCGCCAGCAGCCUCUACCGCAGUUGCUAAAGCUGCGCGCCGCCACUAGCGCGGCGCAGGCCCGCGACAGACAGCGACCCAAGCUGCCGCUGCGCGCCGCCGCUCCCGCGUCGCCAUCCGAAUUGCCACUGCCGCUUCAACCAGCGAGGAGCACGCCUCCCUUGUUGCUUGCCCCUCCGCGCCUGUACGCCCACCACCAGCUUCAACGCCGUACUCUGACUGCCGCUUGGGUAGUCCCAGUGGAGGUAUUUGAACUUUGCUCCCCAAUUUCUCCAAAUCAAUUGGUACUAUCUGGGCUAGUCAAGAGUUAGCCCUGUGAAGGUCCUGUCCUCGAUUGUGUGCGUUCCACAAGUGGUACUGGUUGGAUUAUUUUUGCUUGGUAUUGCUAAUUCUUUUAGGUUGGGUGCAAUUGUGCUUUUGAUUGGCCAUCUGGUGCCACUUAUUAAAUUUUGGGUUGAGCUGAAAAACUGCAGACGAUUGUUAACGUGGGAGGCCUAUUUUGCUUACAUUGUUGGAGGAGUUGUUGAGGUUUCGUUGGGGGGGGGGGGUUUUGCUUCAUUUACCUCUGAUAUUGCAUAUUGGGUUGAAAUCCUGUGCAGUUCGACUUACUUUGUCAACUUGGAAUUGCAUACUCUACUGUGAUUGCUGCAUUGAGGGCCGUGGGUAGCAUCUGUUCUGAUCUUUUAUAGCUGUUUCAUUAAUUGGGCUGCUUGUUGGAAUUUUUUUGGAUAGAUAACGUUUGCUUGAUUACUGGGUGACUUGGAUAAUCUCAUUGCUUAUUAAAUAACCUUUUCCAGUUGCUAGUUGUGGGUGAUAGUUGGGCAACCUGUGGUCAUUGGGUGCCCUUGUUGGUAAAUGGGUAAAAAAAAUUUGUGGGCAAUUCUGUAUCUUGUUGUUCCAACUGACUGUGGGUGAAAUGGUGAGACCGAAAUCCUCCUCUAGGUCUAGGACCCCUCGUUCUCAGCCUGCUCCACAAGCCUCCAUCCCUGUGAAUACACCUACCAACCUACCUUCUUCUUCUAAUGUGCGAACCCGUUUGGGUAGGGGUCGGGGUGCUCAGGUAGAUACCCCUACUCACUUUGGGGGGCACCUAACCUUCACUAGACCCGCCGAUCAGCAGAGGUAUGCUAAGGUCUGCGAGCGGCGUAUUACACCAAGUAAGACUUGGGAAAAAUUAACCGUCAUGGGUCUCGGCAUACGAGAGGAAGUAGAGCAAAUGUUUACAGCCAUCGGGUGGCGCUCAUAUCUAGAUGUCUUAUGCCCGGCCUUUGUCGAGCUGACUCGAGAGUUUUACUCCACCUUUGAGUUCGAUUACUACGAGAUACACCGUUGACACACCACAGGUCAUUCAUUUCGGCUCAUGGGUCGAGAGUUCAAUUUCUCCAUUACCCAAUUCAAUCGGGCAUUUGGGUUUGCCACUAGAGAGUAUGCUGGGAGUAGGGAGUUUGCCGAGAGUGCUUGUGACUACAUAGAGCCGUUCAAUGUCAAGGUGAACUUGGGUGUUGGUUGGCCGCACAGUUGAAGACCGUCUUGGCCAAGAAGAACAAACCCCUCAUCCUUGGGUCAUACAUCACUCACUUGGCGAUACAGUUGGGGGUUCUUGACCUGGAGGACCACGACCUACAUUUGGCGUGCGAGAUGGAGCUCUUGGACGCAGACUGCUUGGAGAGGAUGGGAGUCAUCGAGCGCCUGCCUGAUGGUUCCUACCAGUUCAUCCCUCCUGGACCACCUAGACCUCCGGGUGCACGCCCUACGCCCCGACCAGGACCCUCUUCAUUCCCUGGGUCGGCCGCGGACACUGCUGGGCCGUCUACCUCUACUUCUGCGCCACCUCCACCACCUGGGACCGAUGAUUGGCAGCAUCUCAGGGAGCAGGUUCAGGAUUUGCAGGCCCGGAUGACCAACGUCGACGCCAAUGUCGCCGGCAUAGCACAGAAUUUGGCACAGUUCCUGAUGCAUACAGGCUUUGCACCUCCAUUCCCACCUCGCCCUCCGCUAUGACCCGGUUUCAGGGAAGUUUGGUCCUUUUCCCUCUCACUUUUGUUUUAUAUUUGUCACAUUGAGGACAAUGUGUCCUAUAGGUGUGGGGGGAAUGGGUCUAAAGUGGUGCUAGUGUUUUCCGUUUUUAGUAGUUUUUAGUUCUUAGUAAUUUUUAGUUUUCAUUUUUAGUUCUUAGUUUUUAGUAGUUUUUAGUUUUUAAUAGUUUCUAGUUUUAUUAGUUUUUAGUUUUAAUUCUAGUUGUUUAUUUUUCUUUCUUUGUGACUAUUAAUUCUAGUUUUAAUUCUUAGUUUUAAUCCCAUGUGACGAUUUAAAAAAAACAAAAACAAAAAAAAACAAAAAAAAAAAAAAAAAUAUUUGGUUUAUUGACGCUAGUUCUACUUUUGCCAAGUUCUUUUUUGUUUUAAGUAUAAUGUAUCGGGUUAGUGUGGUUGGAUUCGAGAUGUCUCCUUGGUGAAUAUCGGACUGCUUGGUUCUUUUGAUUUCCGUGUUAACUUUUCUAGGCAUUGGGAAUGACUGUUGGCAUUUUAAUGUGAACUGGUCCAAUAUUGACUCCAGUUCUCCAUGUUUGGCAAUAAUGAGGCGAGCUGCCCCUAUGUUUAGUUGUUAGUGCUGUUAUUUUGCGUUUCUGCUUUGAUUAGCUGUGAAUAAGCUUGACUGUACUCCUCUAUUGGCUACUACCGAGUAACCGGGAAUCUGCACCUAAAAGUGUCGAUUCUCGCGUCAAAAGGUGGUACUUGAUAUGAGUAUGUGGUUGCAUAGCGGUAGGAGCUGAGUAACCGGGCUCCUUCAUCUAAAAAUGUUGGAGUUCGCGUGAAAAGGCUCCGGCGGCUAGAGACUAAGUCUCCUUGGGUCAAAUAUUACUAUGUCCAAAAAAAAAAAAAAAAAAAAAAAAAAAAAGAGAAUAAAUAAUAGGGAAGCUUGCUGGUUUAUGGACUCAAUAUGGGGACUUGUGUGAAGAUUUGGACCAUUAGCUGAUAAAUGCUGUGUGUCAUUCCUUUUCCUUAGACUAGUUAAUUUGGAAUUUGAAGGAGUUUUGCGGUAGAGGCUAACUGGGGGAUGUUUCUCGGAUUUUAACUACUAGUGCCCGAUAUAUGAUUUUCUUUUGAAUCUCUCGGCAAUGUGGUAGACUAGAGUGAUGACCACUGUCAACUUUUUGGGGUCUGCCCACUCUUCUUAUGCUUGAGGGCAAGCAUGAUUCACGUGUGGGGGGAAUUGAUAGGGUAUAAUUUGUUAGUAAUUUUAUUAUUAAUUUCCCCUUCUAUCCAGGACAAAUAUUGUGUUAAUUGUUGAUAUUCACUCAUAUUUGGUAUUUGGACCCAAUUCCAGGAGUGGAGCAGAUAAGUACAAAAAGAGGGACUUUUGGAUGCAAAUUUGGGAGACUUUGGCAGAGAGAACUUGAAGGCUUGGGCCUUUGACUUCGGUGGGGACCACGGAGGAAAGGACAAAAAAGGCUUUGGUCCUUUGGUUCUUGAAAAAAAAGCAACGUACAAAAGCCUAAGAGGACUAAGAAGAAAGGCGGUAGCUUGUGACCAAUCAGUGGGGACCGCUGGAUAUCUUUCUUUUGUUUCUUUUUAAAGGCAACUAACGUACGGAGGCAGGGGACCGUUUUUUAGUUCAGCUUCUUAGCCUAGUCUUUAGUUUUUAGUUUUUCUUUCUUUUUUCCUUUGACUGGCCUCUGACACACGCCAGGUGUUCGACAAAAUUCCCCAACGGGAAAAACAUCCUUCAUUCCUUACUUUUUAGCCAAAAACAAUGCCUUCGCAAUUUAUUAAUUCGUGUGGUGACUUAAUUAUGCGGCGUGGCUAAAUCUUCCAUCUAGUCAAGGGUCAACUCGACGGCGCAGUCCCGAAAAUCUGUGAGAUCUAAUUAGUUUUCACGCGUUCCUUAAUUUAUUCAUAUUUGCACGUUGCCUGCUUGUAUUUUCAUGAGAUUAUUUUAUUAAUUGGAUGUCAAGGGCCCGAUGUUCAAUGUGAUUUAUUAAUCUCGUGCCAAUUUAGUCAAUUAAAUCCGUAAUUGUUUGUUUGAUUAAUAUUAGUGGCAACUGGUGUGUUUACACAUUAGGGGAACGUGCGAUCUAAUUUAAAUAACCCUCGUAGCGUGUUAUUGGUUAGGGCUAGGUUUUUCUAAUAUUAAUGCAAUUGGGAAAUUAAUUCCUAUGGUCGUACCUAGGAGUAUUUGCUGAUUAGGGGUAAUCAACGGUCGUACCUUGGUUAUCAAUAAUUUAAGGAAAAAUUGGUCAUCAGACUAUAACUAGCCUAUUAAUGAAUUAAGUGAACCUCUCCUGCAUCAAUGAUCGGAUAAGUGGACUGUGCCUGAGUAGUUGCAUCCUUGGCUAGAAUUUAUUUAUUCCUGAUUAAAUUCCUGCUAUAUUUGUGCUAGUGAUUUAUUCAUUUUUAAUUAAAUUGUCUAAUUAUUUUUAGUUUCAUUCCGAUAAAAUCCCCCCUUAUCAAUUGGACUUUAAAAAAGAGACAAACAUCUCCAGUCCCUGAGGAGACGACCCUACUUGCCACUGUCUACUAUUCAGUAAUUUUUGUCAAUUAAUUAAUACUGGUAUAUCGGAUUAAGUAAACUCUUCGGGAACAGGGUGAAUCAAGUAACCCAUUGCACACCUAGAGUCCCUGCUCCAGUACCUAGGAUUAAUUAUUGACUGCUUUUAGUGGUAGCUAGGUUCUAUAUUUAUUACUAUUAUUGCACAGGCCGACGACCUGUCAUAUAUGUAUAUUAAAUAAAUAUUAAUAUACAUAUUAUAAAAAAAUUGAAAUAAAAAAUAUUAUAUAUAUAAAUAAAUAAAUAUUAAUAUAUAGAAACAGAGCUAGUAUAUAUUUUAAAAAAUCCCAAAAAUAAAAAUUUUUUAAAAAAGAUUUUGGAAUCAAAUGUGGGAUUCAUCAAAACCCUCCAAUCUAGUUGGGGAUUGAGAGUGGCUGAUUUUUCAUGAUUCAUUCCAAGAUUUCAAAACCCAUACCCAUUAGCCAAGCAACAAUUUUGGGACUCAAUCCAAUUCUUGAUUCCUAUACCCUCCCACCAAGCACUUGAGUAAUGGAUCACGGAAUCCAGCACAAGUUGAUUAAGAAGUUGCUCAGUAAUUCUUCUUUUCGAUGUGGAACCGACGCGAAUUUGUAAUCUUCUUGGUCUCCAACACUGCACACUUUUGUCCUUUUAUUUCAACCAAAAAUUAAAUAGUAUUAGUUGUUUUCUAUCUACAUAUUUCAAGGAUUAAUUUCACUUUACACCGCUCAAUUAUGCCUGAAUUCCUACUUAAACCACUGAACUUUAAUUAUAAAGUAUAAUAUUUGUCUCACUUUGGUCUUUUAAUGUACAAAUUCUGUCCUAUUUUAAUUCCUAAAUUAUAAAAUCUAUUUCACCUUAAUCCUAUAGAACGAUAUUUGUCUCACUUAAAUAUAAUAUCUGUCUCACUUUUGUCAUUAAUUUUACCAAAGUGGGACAAAAUUUUUAUUUUAAGGACUAAAAUGUCUCAUUUUAAAGUUUAGGAAUCAAAGUAAAAAUCUGAGCAUGGGUAAAAGGUGAAAAGUGGAAUUAACCCUAUAUGAAUUAGAGGAAUGUGUUUUAUUUUUUAUUACCAUUGUUUGGAUGUAUUAUUUAGAAUAAUUACUUUAGUACAUUUUGUGAUGUGAUGUAUGUGAAAUAAAAAGGUGAUUGGAAAUAUAAAAAAGUGGGUUAGAAAAUGUGUUUAUAAUGCAAGCGAAAUAUAUUAUUAGAAUAAAAGCAAAGCAGUUUGACGCGGUUGUUGGUAGUCAUAUGAAAAGAUCCAAACUGUUUUCUGAUGUUCUUGUUCGGCAUCCAGCAGUGAUUUUCAUUCAAUUCUGACCACCCACUCUAUAUUUUUGUAUUCGAGCUAAAGAACUCGUAACGAGGCAAACAAAAUUCCCAACCUUUUUCCUUUCUUUUGCUGGAAAAAAUGCAACAAUUUUUUUUUUUCUAAAAAGGACUGAAAUGCAUUGUCAAGUUAGAAGUGCAGAAAGUGCACUUCAUUUAUAAGUUUUGUGGAGCCAAGAAUUUCAGAAGAAGAUAAGGCCCAUGUGCAAAGUUACAAAAGAACACAACGGAGAGAUACAAAAACAGAAUCUGUUCUUAAUGAAGUUUCCAACUCCUAAAGACAGCUCAACAAUUAGUGUCCCAUUUGUAAUUCUUGACAAAUGAUAAAUAAUAAUACUUUAUGGCUUUUCCAAUCUGUUCCCCACAAGAUAAUCCUAUCAAGAAAGGGGGUGAGCUGAACGUGAAAGCUUAAAAUUAUCACACAUCGCCUAAAUGGUGUAUAUUUUUGCAGAAAAAAAAAUGAGAAUUUGAUUUAAAUAAUUGUUUUCAAGGCUUUUCUGAAAACUAUUAUAUUUUAGCACCUUUAUUAAUAAAUAAAUUCGUGAGAUAAAUAGAUAGUAGAUUAACGUGUUCAAAAUUUUAUUGUGAAGCAUGUUUAUGAAUACCAUGACUUAGACAAAUUUCUUAUACUUUAAAUGCAUGUCACGAUGAGGAAUAGAUUCAUUCUAUUUCUCGGUGAUUUAGUGCACACACUUUUUAUAGUCUUUUCAACCUUUGUCCACACGUUGUAAAGUUUUACCACAUUAAUAUAAAUUACUAGUCAUCUAGAGCUGGGAUCAAAGAGUCAGCCGUGGAUAAGAGAAAUCCCAUGUACACUUGAUCUUUUAUGAAAAAAUAAAAUAAAAAGGUAAAGCAAUUAUUAAAUAUUUAAUAAGACUUUCUUACUAGUGCCUGAAAGGCUCUGAUUCAGGCACCGGUUAAUCAAUUCCCACAUCUUUGAUUCAGGUAAGAAGAUUGGAAAAUAAUUGUGAUUAUAAGGAUUAAAAUCUUAAACAAACCUUAAAAAUAUCCUAAACUGACCUGAAUAUUUGUCUCCGGUCUAAGAUAACUCUCUUUGGAGAUAUGAUAGGUAACGCGUUUUUGCAACGGACAAGUUGAGACCGUCCUUCCGAGUAAACCGAUGUCAUUGAAUCUGAAAUUUCAGAGCAGCUUCCUUUCCUCGAGCAUUUCAAAUAGUACUUAAUAGAUUCACCAUUAAUUCAAUAGACGAAUUAGAGGUUUUUCAAUUUCGCUUAAAAUCUUAGAGGAGUAGGUAGAGCAGUCUAUUCCCAGGUAUGGAAUCCAAUUACCAAAUACCCCUUCAAUUGCAAAUAGUUAAUGUAAGAAACGUUUGGGGAUCUACCGUCUCAAUACCUUAGCAACAAUAAUUAAAUAAAAGUUGGCUGGGAAGACUCAAGUAAGUCGUCAACUCCACUAAGAAAACAAGUAGUAUAUAAACAAUGUAUAACCCACCAAGGGAAGAAGGAGCUAAGAGAUCCAUCCCAUUGUAUAUUAAAUAAAAGUUGACUGGGAAGACCAAGUCGUCAAGACCAGCAUGUUGGUGUAGCAUGAAAACAAGUAUGUAACAAUGUUGUAGGAGUGGUCCUAAGUAACCAAUCUGGUUGUCCGCCUUUGUAUCAACCUUCUAUUUGCAACCAAAUAUCCUUUCCAAAUCAUAUUAGUAUUAUUCUAUCGUUGCAAUGGCUGAAUUGUUUGUUCCAAAGAUAAUAGGUGAAUUGGGUGAUGUUGCCGUGAAGCAGUUUGGGCGAAGGUCAACUUGGUGAUGGGGUCGAAGAAGAGGUGACAAAUAUCUCCUCUAAGUUGGCAACCAUUGAAAAAGUGCUGCAUGAUGCAGAGAGACGAAGGCUGAAGGACAGAAGUGUUGGAAUUUGGCUAGAAAAGCUCGAGGACAUAACAUAUGAGAUGGAUGAUGUGCUGGACGAAUGGAACUUCAAGAUUCACAGAGCAAAGAAUGAGGGAACUAGUCAGAAUGCCAGAAUGCAGCCUACACUGCAGAACAAGGUUCGUUCCUUUAUCCCAUCCCUUUGUUCUUGUCUCAAACAAGUUCCUGUGCGUAGUGAUAUAGCUCAGAAAAUAAAGAAAAUAAAUGAACAGCUAGAAUUAACUUUGAAAGAGGCAGAUCAAUUCAAGUUUAUUACAAGUGGGGGGAUUCCUGAUUCUCAAGAUUUUCAGCGAAUUAUGACUACCUCAAUCAUAGACGAAUUAGAGGUCUAUGGUCGAGCAGCUGAUAUGGAGAAGGUUCUUGACCAAAUUUUGUCCAAGAGUAGUAGUCAAGGAAGAGAUGGGGUUCAAAUUAUCUCUGUUGUAGGGGCCGGGGGUAGUGGAAAAACCACACUUGCCCAGCUGCUCUUCAAUAAUGAUAAUGUGAAGAACCACUUUGAACUUAGAAAUUGGAUCUGCAUAUCAGAUCCUUUCGACCAGAAAAGGGUCGCGAAAGCUAUCCUUGAGAAUGCUGGAAAAAGUUCUCAUGAAGCAGAGUUGGAUCCGUUGAUCCGACGUAUAAAAGAAACUUUUUCCGGCAAGAGAUUCCUGCUUGUCCUAGAUGAUGUUUGGACAGAGGACGACUCAAAGUGGAAACCUUUCAAAGACUCUCUUAAGGAUGGGGCUCCCGGAAGUGUAAUCUUGGUAACAACAAGGAGUCAUAGAGUGGCCACAGUGGUGGGAUCGACUGAUACUCACGACCUAGGCAUGAUCUCUCACUCUGAUUGUUGGUUAAUAAUGCAAAAGAUAGCGCUUGCCAGAAAAUCAGGGGACUUAUGCAAGAAGGUGGAAAGAAUUGGGCAGAAAAUUGCAGAAAAGUGCAAGGGCUUGCCACUUGCAGCAAAGACUAUGGGAAGCUUGUUACGGUUCAAAGAUACCGUACAGCAGUGGCAGAAUGUUUUGGACAGUGAGAUAUGGCAAUUGGAGGAAGCAGCCGUGGAACUUUUCCCUCAUUUGUAUUUAAGCUAUAACGAGUUGUCCCCGGAGCUGAAACGUUGCUUCUCAUAUUGUGCUGUCUGGCCCAAAGAUUGUGUGAUAAAUGUAGAAGACCUUAUUAGGCUGUGGAUAGCACAAGGUUAUGUUCGCCCAGGACGAAGAGGUGAGCGCUUGGAGCUGGUGGGCCGUGAGUACUUCAACAAUUUGGCGAUGCGUUCCUUUUUUCAAAAUUUAGGAAAAUAUGGUCAUGAAUAUGGCGAGUGCAAGAUGCAUGACAUAGUGCAUGAUUUUGCACAAUUUCUCACAAAAAAUGAAUGUCAUACACUUGAUGGAAUUGGAAGAAAUUCAUCUAGUGAAAGACCACGUCAUCUAACAAUUUGGGAAGAAGGCACUGAGGAGGAGAUGUUUAGUUCUCCAGUCGUUGAUUUUGGAAGGCUCAGGAGCUUUUUUGCUUUUGGUCGAAUUGGAAGAGUAAUAGUUCCCCAAAAUCUGUUUUGCAGUUUGAAGUGCGCGAGGACUCUGGCUUUAAGUGGUUGUGGGCUAGCUGAAAUCCCAACCGAGAUCGGAAGGUUGAUUCAUCUUCGGCACUUGGACUUAAGUGAUAAUCCUUUCAUUACAAUGCCAGAAGCUAUAUGUGAUCUAUAUUAUCUGGAAACUUUGGAUAUCGGUUUUUGUGGAAAGCUUUCGUGCCUUCCUGAAAGGAUUGAAGACCUUGUACACUUGAGGCACCUUAUCAAUGACGCGACCGAUGAAUUACGUCAAAUUCCACAAGGACUCGGGAAGCUGACGUCACUCUGUAGUUUGACUCGGUUCAUCGUCAGGUGCAACUCUGAUGAUUUGGCAAUUCUGAAGGACCUGAACCAACUGGAAAUAUUGCACGUUGUAAUUGAAGGAGAAGUAGAUUUUGGGAGUGCGGAACUUGGCAAGAAAGUCAAUGUGCGUGACAUGUAUUUGCUCUCUAGAUUCGAGGCCCACUUUAUAGAAACUCCAUGUUGCAUUGAAACCAUGGAACCACCUCCAAACUUGGAAGAACUUGAGCUAGCUGGCUAUCCAAGAGCCCAGUUACCAAGUUGGCUUGUGACGAAGUCUCACGCCGAUAACUUGACAAAGCUAGUUAUUGCUAGGGCCCGCAACGUCUCAUCCUUACCUGCCUUGUGGAAGCUAUCAUCCCUAGAAGUGCUUGUGCUCACGGAAGCGGAAAAGAUGGAAUGUUUGGGUAAGGAAUUCUUCGGAGUUACAAAAGCACUACAUGAAAAUAGUCGUGAUGCUCUUGAUACAUUGUCAGACUCCGAGUCAUCAUUCUCAGCUGAAGCAGUGGCAUUUCCAAAUUGAGAAGUUACAUUUUCGCCGCUUCCAAAAUUGGACAAAUUGGGAAGACUUAAGUGAAGAUGAUGAAGAAGUUGCUGUCUCUAUCAUGCCACAUCUAGAGGAGCUAAAAAUUUGGGACUGUGAAAAGCUUGAGAUUUUGCCACAUCGCAUCCUCAGGAUAUCUCUCAAAAACUAGAAAUUAGUCAAUGUACAAAGCUCGAGACUCUGCCACAUCACAUCCUCGCAAUACAUCAUCUCUCAAAAAUUUGGAUAUUCGACGUUGCGACAAGUUGAGGGAUCGUUAUUCUGACAAAACAGGAGAUGACUGGAUAAAGAUAUCACACAUUCCUCGAGUUCACAUAUCUGACGAAUAUUAUUAAUCUGCUCAGGUAUUGUUAUUCACACAUUUUUUUUAUGUAUCAUCAUCUUUGAAGUCAAAUAAUUACUAUGUAUAGAAUUACAACAAACAAAGGCCUGCUUUGUGGAAUAUGACGUGCUUAAUAAUGAAUCAAGGGUUGACAGAGCCAUAUGUAUAAUGAAAAUAUGAAGUAUUCAUUAAUAAUUUAGAGUGAUUUUUUUUUAUUGAGAAGAUGCAAGUCAUUAACUAGUAAAUACAACACUAAAUUUCUAACAAUAUCUAUCUGUAAACUCUUGAGUUUGGGAUUCCAUUUGUCUUCUCUUUUUUUUUUUUUUUUUGGUUGCUUUUGUCCUUUGUUUUCCAGAUGAUAAUCAUUGAUGGCUCAAAAUGAAGCUACAGCAGAAGGCAUUGGGGAUCAAUCUCUACGUCAACUUUUCACUUGGGUUCAUGUAAAAUUUCAAAUAAUUGUAAAUAUGGUUGAAGAGGCACAUCCAGUUGCUUUGUUCAAAAUCAUUUGCUGAAAGCAUAUGUACCCUUACAAAUUUCCAGAUUGAAUUUCAAGUGAUUACACAACCAGUCUUUAUUUCUUCAAAUUAUUAUUGUCCUAUUGUAUGUAAGUUUGUGUAGAUUUAAUAAAAAAGAAAGUUUGUACUUCAUGCUUAUCUAUAUAUUGUAUUAUUGACAAUCUAUUAUUAGCGCACCUAUUUUAUGGUAUUAUUUUAAAAAUAAUAUAAAUUCAAAUUUGAAAUUGAAUAAUACACAUGAAGCAUACAUCCAAAACUGUUAGUAAUAAAAAAAAAUAACUAUAUUAUGAAUGUAUAAAAAGUUAAUCCUUAUUCUAAUGGUUAAAAGUUGACAAGUUGACAAAUUAUUCCCAAAGAAAUUCCAAAACUUUCAUAAUUGAAGUCACUAUCUCUCAAGUAGACAUUACCUAAUAAAAAAUUCCAUCUCUGGAGAGAAACAAAAUUGGUACUUCCCGUUCAGCUUCCAGAAAAUCGAAAUAUGAAAGAAUUCCCAAAGAAACAACAGAACCUUGCCCAAUGCUGCUAGAUUGCUACUUAAGUUACCACGCUUGACUAGAAACUAGCACUAAUUUCACCAACAAGUUUGUUUACAAAUUAACAAAAAUCCCCACAAACAUCAAAUUAGAAACCAAAGUAGUGCCCACGACUGAAUGCAUGCAGGGAAUUACAGCACAAAAUCUUUGGAGUAAGGAAUCCUACUCUGCCUGCUGAGAAGGAUUCAGAAUAGAAGAAUUACAACAGUACAAAGCUCUAAUGUUGGUCGACAGCACCUGCUUCCUAAAAUUUCAGAUGGUGUUCAAACAAAGAAGCCAUUUCAAUCUACAAUACAACUCAAACAAGGAAACCAAUUCAUCCUUGGUACCGGAUCAUGAAUAGACAUUAUUAGAGAGGAAAAUGCCGAUCAGGAACAUUUAUUUCUAAAAUAUGGUACAACUCAUUAUUUUGUCAGACCCAAGAUACAAAAUGAACAUCAUGCCAUUAAAUAUGCUAUGACAGCAAAAACAGACUCUUCCUGCGAAAGUUUCUUACUCAUAAGAUCAUGACCUAAAGAAGGACAAGAUUAUGAGUAAUGAUCAACCAGAAUUUGAUUUAGAAAGCUACCGAUAACUACAUGCACUGUCAUAAACUAGAUCCAACUCCAAACUAAUAAAAGCUAGAUAUUUUAGAGUCUGCUGAGAAACUCCCAACAUCACAGAGAGACCCACCAAUGGUCGUUAUGGAGUUCAAUCCCUUAUUUGCCUUAUAACUCCCAUUUUUAACUCAAAAAAUAAUUUAUUUUGGAUGAUCGAUACCUCAUUGCUUAAGUAAGAAGGCCCUUUCCAAGCAUUCCUAUUGGCUGUAUUAUACUAAAUUAUAUUGAAAGAAGGCCAGUUACAAGGGCAAAACCCUGCAGAGAUGGAGAAAUUCAUCAAAUCACCCCUUUCCAAUGCAACCAAACCAAAAAGAAAAACAGAAAAGGUUCUUUAUUGAUGACAUUUGAUUUAAACAGAACUCAAACUAGAUACUAUUCACAAAGUAAACAAUUUGGCAGACAGCAAAUAAAUACUCCAUGGAGUAAAACGACAAGAAAAUGAAGAGACAAGAAAGCAACUCAACAAAAUGAAAUUGACUUACAACUAUCAGCACUGCUUCAGUACCUUUAUUUCCGGACUUACCACCAGCUCGAUUGAGAGCCUGCAUUUAUCAUAAUGUAACUUUAAGAAAUGGGAUACCAAUGGGAAAAUUUGUAGAAUACUGGUAAAGAUCAGGGCAACAAUUUUCGUCAGCAUAGAAAUUUGACCAAAAAUUACCCACAGGAAGAUUAUCAUAUUCAGCAACAUGACAAUUAUAUGAUGAGCUCUUUUAUGAUUUUCAAUGCAAUAACUCCCAUGCAAAAGAGUAUAGGAGAUCAGAAAGGUCAGCCAUGAGUUUUCAUUGAGUUGUAUUAAGCAAAAGAGAAAUUUCAUGAAUUUACCUGCUCCAUGUCAUCAUAGGUCAAAACACCAAAUAUGCAUGGAACACCUGGAAUUCAUUGAAAGGAAAAUUAAAUAUUUCACCAUUAAGCCACUGUAAAUGUUUUGAGACUGCAUUCCACAUACAGAGUUGUCUGUAUUUGAAACACAAAAAUGAAGUUAUAAGUGUGCACACAACGAAACAAGUUGAUGAUUCCUAAACACUUCAAGUACCAGUUAUGAGGUAUGUAUCCGUAAGUUCCUACACUAAACAAUUUUCUCAUCUUCUGACAUUUGAGAAUAUAAGAACCUCUGCUUCUGUGUCUAUGAGCACAAAAUGGGAAAAACGGGUACAACCACUAUGCAGUGCACUUAUUACAAAUCAGACAAUUUCAAAGUGGUUCCAAGUUGCAAUAAACCAUGAACAUCUUUCAACAACACAAGAUGAGUGCUUUUAACACAAAAACCAUCUGUCAACUAGGCAAAAAUUUCCAUCAUUGCUACCACCUAUGGAUCUGUAGUAUUACACAGUUACCAAUCUUUUGAUUCCUUUCUUAACAAAACUUGUUCAACUAAGCUACUAACUCUUCCAAUUGCAUAAUACAAUAUGCUAAUGGAAUUUAGUAAACUAAAGAACUUUUCAACCUUAAGACUAGUAUGCUACACCGGAGGCGCUAAGAAAGAGCUUUCUUUAGUGAUCCCAAAUUAACAGCCACUUUCAAAUUUUAUUCUCAAUCUAUAGACAGUGGCAUCAGACUAGGCUCCAUUUGUAGCAUACAUGUUUGACAUAAGUGUGUACUUUACAACCUUGUUCAGCUCAAAAGCGAAAAGCUCUGAUUAGAAAGAAGUUAUAAACAAAUAAUCCAAGGACGCUAAAUAUUAACAUCAUCAAUAUCCCAGUCUACGAAAUCUAAGGCAGCUUAGUUAUGAGAAAGACACGUAGGGAAAGAAAGAACGUUAGCAUGAUUAGAAACAAAAGUUACAAACAAAUAAUCCAGGUAAGCCAAAUAUUAACAUCAUCAAUAUCCCAAUCUAUCUCUCUCCAUCUCAAGCUCCCUCAAAUCUCUAACCAAAUGUGAUACGUUCCUCGAUCAACACGACGUUUCGAGACACGUAGCACGUUUGCCCAAGGAUCUAGCGAGGAUGUCCAACGCUUGGAAUUGCGGGAUCUAGAACCAAACGGACGACACGAUUUGAUUCAAGACGGUAGACGACACUCCGAUGAAGGUGAAUACUCCAGGGGAAUAGGUCGGUAGAACAAUCUAGGACAGGACGCAAGACUGUUCAAAACCCUUGCCAAAGCAAGUAAAGGGGUCGAAUCUCUCUCUCAAGAAGAAUCGAAAAUAUGCAAAACUUUAUUGAUAAAACGACUACUCUUAAACCUUACAAAGCAAGCCUAUUUAUAGGCUAAAGUGACUAAAACCCUAAAGGGGCUAGGUAAAGGAAAAAGUCGGCCAUGCUCUUGGAACAAGAUGGGCCGGCCCAUGCUCUUACUUAAUCAUUAACUAAUUGCUAACUAAUUGAUGGGCCUAAGGCCUUAUUCUCUUGGUGGCCCGCUUGACUCUUCGUGGGCUUGGAUCAUGGUGUAAAUGGCUCGAUUGUCUCUCUCCAAGCCCUCAAUAUCUUUGUGAACUCCAUGUUGGUCUUGCAACAACUCUAACCGGAACUUGGAAUGAUUCUUUGAAUAGCUUGGCCCAUGCAUGCGUGACUGGGCCAAUGGGACUCGAAACAUGUAAGUCAUUGCGUGGGCUUUGACCCGUACACACAUCAGUCCCUCUCUUGAGAAGGAUUUGUCCUCAAAUCUGGAUGGGAAUGAAUGAGACUAACAAGAGUUGCCAGUAUGACACCUCAAAUCUCCACAUAUUGGCCCUCUUAGAUUGAUAACACUUGCAUAUGUUAUGAUUAAAAUAAUUCGGUGCACAUGUCUCUUAGUCAGCUUCAAGGGCCUCUCGAACAAGGACAUUCGCCAAGGUAAGAAAGGAACGUGUGUAAGGGCUUGUGAACGUUCCAGGUUGCAACACAAAGCUCUCCAAUUUGUCUUCGAGUAUGGGCAUUCACGUGCACUUGAUAACGAUGUUCGUUGGACUAAAAAAGCCCGAAUCUGGUUGUGCAAGAUGGUACAGUUCGACCCUAGACAUUGCUGAAUCAACUCAACUUUCCAAGCUGGAGGUAGGACACUGAACCACCCGUGUUGUACACCCAUAUAAAUAUGACCCAGGGAGGUAGGGGUAGCAUUCGGAUUGUGAUUGACACACUUGUGUGCAUCACCCAACAUAAGCGGUAGUAAUGAAGUGAGACGCACUCCAUACGAAUCACAUGCGUUCGCGCCAUAUGCAUCUGGAACAAGUACGAAAUCAGGUUGCAACUCUUUAGUCAUAGUUGGGAAAUUUUGGCCAGCUUUACAACCUACAAACACAAAAUAACCUUCAACUUGAAACAAUUCAGAAAUUGGAUAAAGAAAUAAGGGAACAUUAUUAACUAAAUAGUAAGAAGGUUUAGAGCAAGAUUUAAAUGUGAGAACUCCCUUUGACACUUCAAUAUUUCUUCCACCAAUUGAUUCAACUUGAGAGUCCAGUGCUAGUCCUUCCUCAUCAAGAUCUACGUAAGAGCAACAAGAGUUAGUGCUAGUAACAUGCUCAAAAUAAGGCAAAGGUGAUGAAUGAACCAUAGGUAAAGAAUAAGAAGUAGAAUCUGGAAUUUCCCUUUUGAGAUGAGCUCGAAUGAAUCCUCCAAUGGCGCGGACAGAUUUGAUUGGACAUUGUUCCAUGAAGUGAUACCAAAGAGAUUUAGUUCCUAAAAGAUAAACUCCAUGGAAACUCACAAAGUGUCCAAGUGACUUCGGGAUGGAACAUGCCAUGACCAACUCUACUUGACUUUGUUUAACCUGCACAAACGAGGAUAUACUAAACAAAACACAUGUAAUCUGGUUAGCAAACAAAGUGUUCACACGUUCAAUGUUUGCAGACAUGGUCAACUCUUUUUCUUGACUCUUCACUAAGGCCAAAUUGUUCUUGCUUAUCCCCACUCCCUUCUUCUCGGACCAUUGAUCCUUCAUUGCACUUGAGUUUUGUUUUUCAUUGGGGAGCUCUUGUUCACGGCUCGGCAGCAACUCAUUCGUACGUGGCUCUUCAAUCAACGAUGGACUAGACUGAAUUUUUCCUUUAUUACCACCGGUUGGCACAUGGUUAAGUUGCUCCAAGUGUGAAUCCAGCACUUGGCUAAGUCUUUCCAUCAUGUCAUCAAUCAAUGCUUUAGUCCGACUUCGGAAUUUUUCCUUUGAUUCACGAAGCGUUGACUCAAUUCGAGAAUUCUCAAACUCCUCGUCUUGAUUGUCAAGACGCUUCUUAGAUGCACCUCGUUUGCUUGAAGUUGACCUCGAUUUAGAUGCUCUAUGCAGACUUCUUUGCUCCUUCUCAUACUCAUCACAAUCUUGUUUAUACCUUUCAUAUACACACAAAGCACGGUGGCGUUGCAUCUCCUCCCGGAGUGAAUGAUACCCACGUUGUGAACUGGAUGGCAUGGAACUAGAGUACUUGAGAGUAGUCUGCUUGGAACCCCUCCUCUUGAGAGGCUCAUUCUCCAAGAAUUCUUGGUUGUAUGAGUAAGAGGCAACUCCCCUAGGCAUGAUUAUGUGACCUGCAAAAAUGGUUAGCAAAGAAAAGGAAUUUUCCUCCCACACACAAGCUCACGUUUGUACACUCGACUCUCGUGUCUCACUCAGGCUGAUGACACUCUAAUGGUCUUACCAUUACACUUACGUUGCCGGAUUGAGUAACUUGAGCAAUGCCGCACAAGGUCUAAGAAUUGUUCACCAAGUUUCGCACAAGAGUAACCAACGAGCAAAGAUACUUUGGACACGCUUGAGAUACUGUUUUAUGACCUAAAUAAUGUAGGUGAGCAGCCCAAGAUAAUUGACACUAGAUAAGACACAAAACUCAAAAGCUGAAAUUUUGGAAUUCCUAGGAAGGACUCUACCCGCACCAAUUUCUGGAAUUUGUUGGGUUGCUGUUUUCAUGCCCUUUUGGUCAGGGUUUUGGGGUAUUGUUGGUGUUGUUUUGGUGAAUGAGUCAGCCCUUAAACUUAGCCCAAUCCGAUCACAAAGGGCUGUUUCACUAAUUCGAGAAUGCGGCUGGUUUGGCUUGUCAAGGUGUGGCGGUCGGCUUGUGGGUGUAGGAGGCUGGAUUGUGUAUUGAGUGGGCUGGCUUAUGUCGGUUAGCACUCAUAGUUGCAACCGACCUUGGACACAAGAUUGUGUAGAGGUGGCCGAAUGUGAGACAGAAUUUGGGACACUGAAUUGGUGAAUAUAUGGGCGGUGGUGGUCGGUCAAGACAUUUGGGAAAUGAUUUUGGUGUGCUGGCCGAAUGUGAGUCAGAAUUUGGGAAACUGAAUUGUUGAUUGACUUGGUUAUAUGUGGGCGGUGGAGGUCGGUGGACGGAAGGUUUGGGGAAUGAGUUGGUGUGGUGGUUGGCUGGGUUGGCAAACUGAAUUGGUGAUUUAUGGGCGGUGGGUGCGGCCGAAUGUGAAACAGAAUCUGAAAGACUGAAUGGGUUAUUGAAUUGUGGGUGGUGAAGGUCGGUCAAGGCUUGGGAAAUGAGUUGGUGUUUGGCCGAAUGGAAGACUGAAUUGGUGAUUAUAUGGCAGUGGAGGUCGGCUGGAGGGAAGCUUGGGUGGUAUAUUAAGUGGGCUGUGGGGUCUGUUAAGAGCUUUUGGGGGAAUGGUUUGGGAUGGCCGAAUAAGUUUCUUGGGUCCUAUUAAUCCUACCAGAAUUAGGAGUAGUUGGGUCACGGUGGGACUUGGGUUCUCCAAGUAGGAGACUAGAGCCAAUAUCCUUGCUUUCCUUCCUUUUUUUAUUUCCUCUUUCUUUUUUUUUUCGUUCCUUUUGUUUCUAUUCUGUCUUCCUCUCUUUUUUUUUUUCUGGCUCAAUGCUCAAUCAGAUUUUGCACGACUCAAUUCCAGUCCCAAGAAAAGAAUUCAGCACAAUUCUGGUUUCAAGAACUUCCAAACCAGUCUUUGGUAGGCCAAGAUUUUGAAGAAACUUGCUCAAGAAGCUCAAGAACUCACCCAAGGAUGUGUUGGUAUUCAAGUUUUGCAAGAAAAACAACACAAAAGUUCAAGAACAAGAGUAAACAGGCUCGGCAGCCCCAACAACUAAAUUCCAGCAAUGACUCCAAGGGCCACAACCAGGUAUGCGGCUUUCUCUCCUUUUCUCUUUUUUUUUUUUGUGACUUUUGCUGAGUUGUUUACACGGCCCCAACAACACAACAACCAACCAGAAUGGACCCACUAUCUGGACACAUAUGAAUCAGCAAUUAACGAAGGGGGAAUCUGGACAGAUUGCUACAACACAAGAUGCGACAAGGAGGGAAAGGAACCCUAGCUGCCGCAAAGGUUUUUUUUUUUUUUUCCACGGACAGUUUGGGGCUGCUAUGACACGCACCACUUGAACAGAAAUUUGGUGCAAGAAACGACACCAGACUUGGCCAGAUUCGGUGAUGGCAACAACGACCCAAGAACAAGACAAAUUGUGGAGGUGCAACUAUGGGAUGCUACGGCACAAAUUGACGCAACAAGACACAAAAAGGAAUUGCGGACAGAUUUCUUUUUUUUUUUUUUUCAGUUUCGGCUAGGACCAAUUGCUGGGCAGAAUGGUUGCAAUUCGAGUACAAAAUUUGGGCAGAUUAGAACUAGCAACAAUACAUGCGACCGACCAGAAAUUUGACGCGACCAAGAACAAGAACUAGCAGACAGAAUUUUUUUUUUGUUUUUGGACAAGCGAUGCAAACAGAUUUUGUUUGUGUUUUUUUUUUUGACUAACAACGGACAGAUUUGACCACGGACUCAACAACAAGAACAACGACCAGAAUUUCGUGACAACACAAAGAAAGGAAACGGCACAACAAGCAACAAUGCUAAUGAACAGAUUUUUUUUGUAAAACAAGGCAGCGGAAAAUAAGGAAAACUAAGACAAGACUACGGAUAUAACGAAAGAUACCUCUACCAAAGCUCUGAAGCCAACUGAUACGUUCCUCGAUCAACACGUUUCGAGACACGUAGCACGUUUGCCCAAGGAUCUAGCGAGGAUGUCCAACGCUUGGAAUUGCGGGAUCUAGAACCAAACGGACGACACGAUUUGAUUCAAGACGGUAGACGACACUCCGAUGAAGGUGAAUACUCCAGGGGAAUAGGUCGGUAGAACAAUCUAGGACAGGACGCAAGACUGCUCAAAACCCUUGCCAAAGCAAGUAAAGGGGUCGAAUCUCUCUCUCAAGAAGAAUCGAAAAUAUGCAAAACUUUAUUGAUAAAACGACUACUCUUAAACCUUACAAAGCAAGCCUAUUUAUAGGCUAAAGUGACUAAAACCCUAAAGGGGCUAGGUAAAGGAAAAAGUCGGCCUAUGCUCUUGGAACAAGAUGGGCCGGCCCAUGCUCUUACUUAAUCAUUAACUAAUUGCUAACUAAUUGAUGGGGCCUAAGGCCUUAUUCUCUUGGUGGCCCGCUUGACUUUUCGUGGGCUUGGAUCAUGGUGUAAAUGGCUCGAUUGUCUCUCUCCAAGCCCUCAAUAUCUUUGUGAACUCCAUGUUGGUCUUGCACAACUCUAACCGGAACUUGGAAUGAUUCUUUGAAUAGCUUGGCCCAUGCAUGCGUGACUGGGCCCAAUGGGACUCGAAACAUGUAAGUCAUUGCGUGGGCUUUGACCCGUACACACAUCAGUACUGAUACGUUCCUCGAUCAACACGUUUCGAGACACGUAGCACGUUUGCCCAAGGAUCUAGCGAGGAUGUCCAACGCUUGGAAUUGCGGGAUCUAGAACCAAACGGACGACACGAUAUGAUUCAAGACGGUAGACGACACUCCGAUGAAGGUGAAUACUCCAGGGAAUAGGUCGGUAGAACAAUCAUAGGACAGGACGCAAGACUGCUCAAAACCCUUGCCAAAGCAAGUAAAGGGGUCGAAUCUCUCUCUCAAGAAGAAUCGAAAAUAUGCAAAACUUUAUUGAUAAAACGACUACUCUUAAACCUUACAAAGCAAGCCUAUUUAUAGGCUAAAGUGACUAAAACCCUAAAGGGGCUAGGUAAAGGAAAAAGUCGGCCCAUGCUCUUGGAACAAGAUGGGCCGACCCAUGCUCUUACUUAAUCAUUAACUAAUUGCUAACUAAUUGAUGGGGCCUAAGGCCUUAUUCUCUUGGGGCCGCUUGACUCUUCGUGGGCUUGGAUCAUGGUGUAAAUGGCUCGAUUGUCUCUCUCCAAGCCCUCAAUAUCUUUGUGAACUCCAUGUUGGUCUUGCACAACUCUAACCGGAACUUGGAAUGAUUCUUUGAAUAGCUUGGCCCAUGCAUGCGUGACUGGGCCCAAUGGGACUCGAAACAUGUAAGUCAUUGCGUGGGCUUUGACCCGUACACACAUCAAAAUGUGUUCAUCACCUGCGCGUUCAUCCUGAACUUCAAAAGGUCUAUCAUAAGUUAGGUUAUCUCAUAAUCAUUGUUUCAUAAUCACAAGACAAGAAUGUCAAACCGGUAAUUGAAAAAAAAAAUAAAUCAGUAUACUAUUGUUUCAUUAAUUAGCAAAGGAAAGUGGCAACUUUUAAGAUAAGUUAGCAAAAUAAUGCAAUUCUUAUACAGAUGGCUGUACAGCUGUAGAGCCACCCUUUAGUAUAUUGGCAGAGUAAAAAAGGAUCACAAUUUAUCUUUUUUCUCUGAAUAAGUUAGAAUGAUCAUUAUUUACACAUCCAAACUCUGGUUGGUGCUAUGGCUAACGUAUAAGCAACAUUCUUAUAACAAAAAACAAACAAAUGCGAGUCAAAUGGGCUAGGAUUGGAAUAACAACGGAAUUCAAGUUUUUUUUUUAUCGAAAUUCAAGUUAAUAGAACAUAACAAUGUAAAAGAAUUUCAUUUAGGAAUCCAUCUUCCUCAUUCUUUGUAUUCCAACCAUAAAUUUAUGACUUCCCAUCAAAAUUAUUCAGGAUAUAUAGUUACUAGUUGACAUCAAGAAGCCCAAUCAAUGAUAGCGCAUGCUCAUAGAAAUAAAGGCCAUGAUGCAAGCAUCCAGACAUUUUACAUGGGAUGAUAAUCAACCAAGCAAUUAAUUAAUAUUUAAAUUAAUGCCACAAGUAUACCAUUUCACUUUCAGAAGAAAGCAGAAAAAUACAAAUAUUUGUGCACAAGGUAUAGUGCGUCAUUGAUAAGAAAGUACACUCAAAUCGGUGAGGCCAAUAAUGAAGAAUCCAUGUACAAGGGAUGCCCACAAAUGCGCAAUGCUGAGAAGACUAUCUCCAGUGGUCGUCUUCGACUGCAGUGAUUGGAUUUACUGGAUUUGAGCCAAUUUCGAUGUCAACCACGAAAGAAACCUUACAAUCUCACUCAUAACAUGCAUAAAUGAGAGUAGGUGUUCAAUGGUGGGAAAAGGCGGAGGAGGAAGAUCAGUAAGAGGGGAGACGAGGAGUCGGCAAUAGGAGUAUAGGUGGAGCAGGCAGGAGUGAGUAUGGGAGGAGGUGGAGGAGAAAGAGGCAGAGAAGUGGGAGGCUUACAUUUUUUUCAUUUCAUUUUUCAUUGAUCAUAUAAAGACCCGUUUUACUAAUUUAAUUCAUCUAGGAUCCACGUACUAACCCCAUUAUGGGGUGAAAUUGUGGAAUUAGAAUUGUAAUUCUUAGGUCUUAUUAAAGGAUUUGAAUUUGUAAGGUGCGCCAUUCCAAUUCUAAGUCUCCAAUUCUUUCACGACUCGUAAUCAAUGUAAGGUGCACCAUUUAGUUGGGCUAGUUACCUAGUUUGCCCGUCAUCUUAUAAGCAAGAAUCCAAUCAUGCCAAUAUGACUAAGGUUAAUAUUAUUAGAAUUGGAGAUGAUUUCGAAAGUAAGUUGAAGUUAAGUUAACAACUAGCAUUGUGAGAUCCGUGCCACAUAGGACGAAAGGAAAGGAUGAAUAGUUUGGAUAUGAACUCGUGACUCCGCUCAAGGGUCAUUAGACCAGUCCAAAUCUCACAUUAGAGCAAAUUUCACAUGGUCAAGUCGUUUGUUGGGGAAUAAUAUUAAAGAUGCUUUUGAUGCUAUGGAAAGAGCAUCAACUAAAGGUUUGGGGGAAUGAUAUUAAGAUACUUCUGAUGCUAUGGAAAGAAUAUUGAGAAGAGUCCAGCUUCAGAAUUUUUCAGGAAUUUAGUUAAAUUCAUUUCAGACAGUUGAUAGAUUUUUGAGGCUACAAUUUACACAUUCAUUUCAGACAGUUGAUAGAUUUUUUAGGUUACAAUUUACACUUUAAAUGCAUAGUUGUAGAGGUGGCAAUUUGGAUUGAGAUCUAUUUAUCCAUCCAUAUAAUCCAUAAUUAAAUGGAUUUGAAUUAUCCAUUUAUAGUAUUGGUUUUAAAUGGUUGAUCAAAGUAAAACUAUUAAAUUAAAUGAAUUUACAUGAAUUAUCCAUAAAACAUAUAAUCCAUUUACUUAAAAACCAAAUAAAAGAAACGGAAGAAAUGAAAACUAAAAAUGGACCCUCGAGAACUGAUUAAUUAUUGAUCCAAUGCCAAGGCCGGCAGCUUUUGCUAUGAAGAGCUUAUUUUGUUACAGCCAACCGUUCCACUGUUUCACCUAAGCUAUGCUGACGUAAGUAGCUCCACCAAAUGCUCUAUUCCCACCCCCUUCCGUUAUGAAGCAAUGGAUAAGCACACUGUAGGACUCAAUUACGCUUAUUAUAUUUGAGAACUUUGUCCCUCUUUCUUCUCUUUGAGAGGUGCAAAUCACAUAACUGCUGUCUGCAGGAAGUUAUAAAUCUAAGUAUUUUGUCCUCUUUCUUAUUCAAACACACCUAAAAUUUACAAGUAUAUAAAAAAGUAUCUUCAUAUUACAAGAAAUAAUAAUACAAGAAAAAAGUAACCAAAAUAUUAAAAUGGAUUAUAAAUGGAUAAUUGAUUUUAUUUAAUUCAUUUAGAUCCAUUUAUUAAAUGGAUCUACAUGGAUUGGAUAAAUUUCAUCUACCAUCCAUUAAGUCAAAACCAAUUGUGAACUAUUUAUCCAUAUUGCCACCUCUACAUAGUUGUGAUGUAGUAAUUAGUACUUUCGAUUUUCAAUUUCAUUCAUUGCUUCAUUUUUGGGGGGGGGGGGGAGGGGCUUAGAUAUUGUAUAGGACACUCGGUAGACUUCUUUCUUUUUCUCUUCCCAAUAAAUAUGUUGUAAUUUAAUUAUGCUUCAUAGAAGAGUGCGGAAGGAAAUAGAAUAUGAAUCUCUAAUUGAGAAAAGUUGGAAGAAUCUUGGAAAGAUUUAGUAUUUUUUUGUUAAUUUCUUUUUUUUUUUAGAUCUUUAAAUUUAUGGUCCUAUACUCUUAUUGAAUUUUCUUUUUGGAGGAUAUAAUUAAAGUUACAUUGGCUGUCUAAGUCGCGUUGCCAUCAAUACAGUUAGUGGUGAAAAUUAAGGCAGUUCGGAAGAGAGAUUGGAAGGCGCAAAAAGAUGGUAGACAUUUGAUUCCAAACGCACUGACAAAGUAAUUGACUAUAUUGAGGUGGAAACGUGUAAAGGUUUGGAAUCAAGUGACACUACUAUUUGACUGUUUUCCCUUUUGUCUUUCCAAAUAUGUAUCCACUUGGAAAUUUCUUGUUUUCAUACUUUGUCCCAGCAUAAGAAAAGGAUGCUAACAGCAAGUGAUGUCCAAAAUGAAAGAAAAGAAAAAGAAAAAGUUAGUUGUAGUAGGAUUCAAAAUAUAAAUUAAUCCACAUUGUCUUUUUAUUAGUACUAUAAAGAAUGUUCCAACAAUCGCUUGAGUUGGCCAAAAUAAUAGCAUUAAUGUCAUAUUUUCUUGUCAACUAGGAUUCGAAUUUCUUCUGAGAUAUUUGCCCGUUGCACAGAAUUUAUCUAAUACGUCUUAUCCCUCCAUGUGCUUGGCGAGCUAUUGCACGAGGUGGAGUUUAUCCAAUGCGUAUUCUCGGACAGCGAUUGAGAUGGAUCCCUUGUCAAAAAAAAAAUCAUAUGAUAUACAGAAUCCUAAAUUGAAAUGGAGCAAGUGAUAACAUAUAGUUUGGUGCAAUCUAUUGGAAAGGAUAAUUCUAUUGGAAACCAGAAUGAUUUACAUGUUUUAGUUGGUGCAAUCUCUAAAUUAAUCUUGUGCAGGAUCCUAAAAUUACGGGCUAAAGGUGCUUUCAAUCUGGCUUUAAUCGACCCCAUUGUCCUACUUUGCCAAAUUUUGUCUCCGCAAUUAAGGAAUCCGGCCCAAGUUGAUGAUGAAGCUGCUCAGUUGUGGGCUCUAACACUGCUGACAUUUGACCUUUUGACUAACUCUGCCAAAGAUCCAUUCCUUUACAAAAAGAGAAAGAAGAAACUUACUUCACGUGUAACAAUUUUAUGUGAAAUUUAAAAUAAAAUUGAAUGUUUCAGACUACUGCAACAAAAAAAAAAAUUUGUUUCAGACUACUUUCAAAUCCUUCCAUAAAAUGCAUCAGAACGAAAGUUUAAGCCAAUUCUUUUUGCCAAAACAACAAUAAACUGAAAAUUUAUAAGCUUUAUCUAUGGGUUGAAACCCAAAAAAGGCAAAAAGAAAAGGAAAAGAAGUUGAGUUCUACUGGCAUAUAAUGGGAAUGACAGGAAGGCUAUUUCAAACAAAAUAUAUUUCAUCUGUUCUGUACGUUAAAACUUUACCAUUCAGGGGUCCAUGAUGUCCCAAUUCUUUUUCUUUGAUUUUGAAGUCCAAAUUUUCUCUUUGUGGUAUGGUUUUUGGCAGUGGACCAAAAUGAUCCUUUUGUUUUUUCCAAAAACAAAUUUAAUCCCUUUUACUGGAAAAUGAUCCAAUGUCGCACCCUUAUAAUUUCAACAAAACUAAAUUGAACAUUCACUUAAUCACAAUGGGCCUUCUAGUAUUGUACCCAACUAAAUAUUUUGCAAUUUUCACCAUUUAUGGUAAAAUAAAUUCCCUUAUAAUAUUUUUUAUUUUAAGGUGAUCAUUGAAUAACUUUUUAGAGGUGCUAAAACCUUGCCUAAUUUCGUGCAUUAUAAUAACAUUUAAAAUUUUAAUGUUGUUGUGGAAAUCCAUUAUUUGACAAUAGAAAAAACAAUGCGAUGUUUAGGCACCAGGCUGAAAGAAAUUCAUGUUUCCAAUAUUAUUUACAGUAAUUGAAUUAUAGUUCAUCUAUUUAGUGAUUUACUUAAGUUUGGAUUUUUUUAUGCCCCAUGGUUAAUAUAUUAGAAUUUUGUUUUAAUAUUAAUUAGAUAAUAUUAAUAUUAUAUAUUUAGUGAUUUACUUAAGUUUGGAUUUUUUUUAUGGACCAUGAUAUUGGGAUGCUUAUAAUUGCCUCCAAAUCCUGCAUUAAUAUCUCCGCUCUCCUUUAUCUAUCCUAGCAUCAUAUAUAUUAUAUAUAUAUAUAUAUAUAUAUAUAUAUAUAAUAAAGUCGUAUUGUCAUUCUUAUCCCUUCAUGUUUUCUCUUUCCUACGUGGCUUAACGAGACAUCAAGUAGUUUCCUACGUGGCUUGCUCCUUUUUUUGUUUGGAUUUAUAUCAAUUCUUAUUUCCUAUAAGAAUCAUAUAUAUAUAUAUAAUAAAGUUGUAUUCUCAUCCUUAUUCUUUUAGUUUAUCCUUUUCCUACGUGGCUUAUCGAUAUAGCAAGUAGAUGCAACACGCUCUAUAAGUUAAACCCCUAAUAACUUACGCUAUUCUAUCCCUCUUUUUUCUCUUGACUUUACAAUUCUAGAUAAUCCUUCCAUAAUUAUCUCUUCCAUUCUCUCACCUUUUUCUCCUUAACCCUAAUCGUCAAGCCUAAAAUUUCCUGGGAUUAGUAUAAAUAAUUUUGAAUUAUGUUUUUAACUCUCUCUCUCAUCUUCAACUCAAAAGUUCGAAAUAUCAAUUCAAAUAUUAGAUUAUCUUUAUCGGAUUUUCACUAUUGAAGAUGCUCUACAUUUUUAGUCAUAUAUAUGGUUCUCGAUCUAUUGGCUCAUCACUUUAUCAAAGCGCGCAGAGCAGUGUUUACACUUUUUCACAAUUUUUUUGGAAAGUUUUUUUUUUACUUCAAUGCAAGGACCGGAUUUUGGAAUUUCGUUUUAUUCCUAUCAAUUACAAGGACCGCAUUUGGACUUUGUUUAUGCUUGCUGUAUGUGGUCUGUAAUUUCCUACACCUUCUUCAUAGCUAGAUCUGAAUUUGAAUUUUCAAAAUCUUCAAAAGUUACAGUUUGCUUUUUAUUUCUAACAAGUUUUUGUAAUUAAUUUGUUAUUUCAAUUUAUGGGAUUCACUCUUCAAUUCAAGUAGAACACAUAUUGUUUUUUUGGUUAGUGAUUUAAAAGUGACCUUUUAAACUAUGUGUUUUCACACGAUUUUUUAAUUGCCUUUGACAAUUUAUUAAUUGUCUUCAACAACGUAUUAAUUUUUUUUUAUUUUCUAGCUUCCUGGGGUUAAAAAAAUUUUGUGCUUUUCAAUGUUUUUUUUAGACUUUGGUAGAAAGCUUCUAAAGAACAAGAAGGUAUCACCGAUUACAUAAAUGGCAAGGCAUCAAGUUCAUUAUCAUAUAACAGUUCACGUAAUGCAAUAUACAUCAGACUAUUUAGAUUUUUUAUGUUUUUGACUUAAUAGCAAAAUACAUCUUAUGUUUUCGUUUUGGUUUCUAUUAGCCAUGAACAGAUUUAGAAGGUUGCUGUGUUCCUAUGACUUGAUUGAUUCUGAAUUUUUAUCUCUUUUAUUAAUAUUUCAUUCGGUUUCUUUUCUUUUCACAUUAACUUUUAAGCCAUUUAUAUUAAGUACCAAAAUUGAUGUUUUGGUAAUGGGUUGGCCAUUCUUUUAUUUACAGAAGAUCAGCCAAGUUUUGAUCUUCCCUAUUUUCAAGUUUUUGAAUGUCAUCAUAUUGUUGAUUUUUUUUUUUGCAUUUUCGAAUUAUUAAUCACUGAAUUAGAUGUUUAAAUUUACAUUAUAAGACUAUUUUUGAAUAACAAUGUAUUUAAGAAAGGUUAUAAUAGAUUAUACAAUAAAUUUGUAUUUUAUGCAAAUAUUUUGAUGAAUUACACUAAAUAAUUUAUUAUUUUUAGACAAUUUCCAUUCAAUGAAUGGGUACAAAACUAGUUAGUUAAAAUAGUAAUAUGGUCAUAGAAUUUCAAGGACCAUAGUGAUUAAUUUUCUAAAUACUAGGGGCUAAAUUUUUUUUUGCGUCAAAAUAAAAAAAAAUCAUUUUAACCCACAUCCUAAUUAUUGAGCACCAAAAUUGCAACUCUUCCUUUCUGAAUUCAAAGACUAGUACUCUAUUUUCCAUAUGAAACACUGAGGACCAAAACGUCGUUUUAGAUGACUAUCAUUUCCUUGCACACCCUAAUCCCAGUACAAGUUUACAACAAAUUCAAAGAAGCCUUUGUCGUAGGUGGAGUCAAGGACCCAUCUUAAAGUGAUAAUCCAUCUUUUUGAAUAAACAAUUCAAAAGUGAAUUAAAGAAUGAUUAAAGGUAAAGGGUUGCUGCUUAAGCUUCUCAAUCAUAGCAUGCAGUGAUUGGCAUUUGAGGCGGGCAUAAGGUGUAAACUACGAGGGAAGUUAACAAAUAUUCGUAGAUCCUAUGCAAACUAAGUUGCACUUCAUCGUUGUACAUAUAAACAAAUCUUAAUUCUGAAAUAAAAUUAAUAUGAUCUAAUAAAAAAAACAUAGUAUGGAUUUAUAUUAUUUUAUUUCUUAUACUUUAGGCACGUGUCAUGAUGAGGAAUAGAUUCAUUAUUUUCUUUAUGCUUCGGUGCAUAUUUUAUAUAGUUUUUUCGACCUUUGUCCACAUAUUGUAAAGGUUUACUACACACUUGAUCUUUUUUGGAAGAAAAAGAACAAAAACAAAAUAAAAAGGAAAAACGAUUAUUAAAUAUUUAAUAAGACUUUUUGACUUGUAUCCACAAGGCACUGGUUAACCAGUUCCCACUUCUUUGAUUUUCAAAGAGGUAAAGUUAAUCCCAAUUCUUCUAAAUAUAUGCAAGAAUGUUGGAAAAUCAUAAAUUAGAACUCUCUCACUACCGUUAAAGGAAUCUGAAAUUGCGUCUUAUGUUGUCUCUUACACACACCUCCAGUCUGGAUAAACCAUGACACAAGCAAAUAAAACCAAAGGAUAACAGACCAACAAUUUUUUGUCAUUUUCCGCAUGGAAUUUUUAAUGAGUAACCCGCAAAGAAAAAAAAUCCUAAAAGGAAAAGGGUAGAAUAAAGAAGGCUACACGAAAGUACAAUCCCAUGUCCAUUAUAAUUGAUUAAAUGUAAUACUCUAAAUCAAAAUGUUUUAAUAGUAAUUAUUAUAGAGUUUAAAUCGUGACAUACAAGUUCUAUCAUCACAUACAAUCAAGACCAUUUUCUAUUACGUGUCUUUAGGCCACACAAUAAAAGGAGGGGAUGGGUUCACAAUAAAAGUUAAUUUUAUAUACUUUAUCAAGGUUGAAUACAUAAUACGUAUGUAAAAUUUGAAUUUUAAAUUUAAAUUUAAAUGAAUUAUCAUACAUCUAACGAUGAUAAUACUAAGUAUAUACAGUUUGAUACACCAACAUGGAGGUCGAACACAAAAUACCCCUAGAAAAGUCAAAUUAUAAAAUGUUAUGCGUUGAUCCUUAGCCAAGUUAGAGCUGCAAAAUUUGAAGCCAUUUCAUCUACAUUUCGUGAUUUUUUUGUUUUCUGUUUUUAUCUUAAGAGAGACUUCAUGUCCUAUCAGGACGAAGGCGAAAGAGACGAUGGCUUGAGAGUUGAUUUAGGGACUUCAAGCUCAUCUGGUUAAUGUCCCUGCCAAGUUAAUUAUUUUUAACUUAAUUGGGUGAGACAUCUUGCAGAUUAUGCUCUAUAUGCCAAAGCCAGUUUUUAAGUCAAUUCAUUUCCUUUAUUACGUGGCACAGUUAAUCGACAACAGUAGCACCAUUUUCAAUCAAAAUAAUUUCUUUUAUUUGGAAUAGACAAUUUAAGAAAAUUUAUGAAUCAAAUACUACUUGAAUCUUCUCUGCCAACUGAUCAAUCAAAUCAAAUGUCAUAGUCAUUUUUCUCUCAUAAAAUUAAUUUUUUUUUAAAAAAAAAAUUCUCUCUUCUAACAAAUUAUCUCUUUAUUUGAAUUUUUUUUGGACCAUAUAAGGCAGGAAAGUUUAUUAAAUUUUACAAUCGACAUAUUGGUGCAUGCAAUAAUUCUUUGUAUGGUUGGAUAAUGUAUAUUGAUUAAAUUUAUUUCUUCAACUAAAUUUUUUGUUAAGAAGUUCAGUUUUUCAAUACAAUGUCUCUUCAUGAUGAAUAAUCACACAAAUAUGGCAAGAUAAUUUUUAAUUCAAAGUUAAAAAUUCUUCUUAUGAUAAGAAUACAAUGUACUCGCACAAGGCUGGGAUUUAAACUCACGACGUUAGCAAAAGAAGUACUUUGAGGGUGACUGACCACCUAGCCAACUGAGCUACAUAACUAGUUCAAGUUAAAUAAUUUUUUUAAAAAAAAAUUAUAUAAACAAUGAAAAUACCACUCCGAUUAUUUAUUGUAUUUUUUUCCUGCUGAUUAAUGCAGAGGUUAAACAGAUACCUUUAGGGUACGUUUGGUUCUACAGAAUUGGAAUUGAAUUAGAAUUGGAAUUCUAUAAAAUUUGAAUUCUAUGAAUUAGAAAUCCAAAUCCUUGCAAUUCUUUCGUUUGGAAAAUACAUAGAAUUGAUACGGAAUUUAUUUGGAAUUCCAAAUUUUUUGUUUGGAUGAGAGAAGAAUUCACUAGGAAUUAGAAUUGUUUCCAACUAAUAUUUCCUUACAUAAAAAUUUCUUUUUUUACUAUAUAAUAAUUUUUUAACAUUUAGCUAAUUGUUACUAAAGCCUUAAGGAAAAAACCAAUUAGUACCUUUAAUAAUUUAUUUUUCUUGCAUUUAACUAAUUGUUAAUAAAGCUUUAAAAGAAAAAAAAAAUUAGUUCCUUUUUUGCAAAAAUAAAAAAAUUCUUUUUUUUAAAUUAAAUUAUGUUAAAUAAAAAAUAAUUGUAUAUUCUAACUUAAAAAGUAGUUAAUAUUUAUCGAGUUAAAACCUUGAUACAAAUUUAAAGUUAAGAACUUUAAAUUUUAGAAAAUCAAAAGCCUACUCUAUGAUAUGAAUUGGGAGGAAAGUCAUAACUUGUACCUAUUAUAAAUAUUUGAGUUUUGUAUCUUACAAGAAAUUUCAAUAGAUGAAUACACAAACAACGUGUUUUUAGCCAAAAAAAAAAGAGAAAGAAAAGCACAGUUAUACAUUGCUACUAUUUUUCAAUAAAUGGCCAUUCUAAUAUUAAAUUAAGUUCGAAUAAAUUCCUAUCAAAUUUCAACUUCCAUGAUGGCCUUGUCUAAUUUGAUAGUCAAUAAACAUUGCUCGUGCUAAAGCAUUCCUAAAUUGUGUCCACUCGCUAGUUGGUUGUACUGUUCGAAUUCGAUUCUCGUUAACAGCAUUUACACCACCAUCAUUAUUUGGACCAUCAUCUUCCAUUCCAUUUUCCUCAUCUUCAUCAUCAACCUCAUGUUGUACUCUUCGCAUCUCAGCAUCAACUUCAUCCAAGUAAGGGUCAUUUGGUUGUUCUACUCGAAUAAGAUUAUGAAGGAUGGCACAUGCAUUAAUUAUCAUGACAUGAGUCUUAACAUCAAAAAAAGAUGCAUCUCUCAAAAUGGCCCACCGCUUCUUGAACAAACCAAAUGUCCUUUCAAUCACAUUUCGAGCAAUUGAAUGUCGAAGGUUGAAUAACUCUUUAAAAUUUUGAGGCUUCCUCCCACUAGCAGACCACUCGCUAAGAUGAUAUCUAACUCCCCUAUAUGGAGCUAAGAAACCGGAGCUAUUUGCAUAACCCGCAUCAACAAGAAAGUACUUGCCUGUAAUGUUAGACAACAAAUUAUUACUCAUUUAUAGUUAAAAGAAAAAAAACACAUGAUAUCUAAUUGUCACAUACCCUUGGGAACAAUUAAUGGAUCUGAUCUAACUAACGCAUCCCGUAGAACUCUACUAUCUGCUGCAGAACCUUCCCAUCCAGGCAAUACAUAUGUAAAUCUCAUGUCACGGGAGCAUACACCUAAAACAUUUGUUGCUAUCUCAUUCUUCCUAUUCCUAUAUCUUCCUUGAUCUCUAAGAAGAACAUGUACUUUAACAUAAGUACCGUCUAACGCUCCAAGACAAUCCUGUAUUAUAAACAAAAUAUCAUAAGUUGAUGAAUCUUGUAGAUAUUAUCUUCAUUAACAAAUAUCAAAAAAUAUUGAUUACCUGAAACCAUUCCCACUUUUCAUGCUCGUAACCUUCCAUUUCCGUUUCAGGCUGGAUAAGAUAGUGUCUCCCCAAUUUUAUGAUAGCACAUAGAACUAUAUUAAAGUAUCGACUAACUGUCUCACCUGAUCUUAUGAAAUUAAAAUUGACAGUGCGAUUCUUAAAGUUAUGAGCAAGAACAUAGAGAAACAUUGCAACUGCUUCUUCAACAGUAAUAUUUCUAGUAUCCCUAACAAAUGAAUAUUUAUGAUCUCAGUGUCUUGAAGGAGGAUACUUUAGCUUCGGAUUCAGCAUUUCAUCCAUUAUCAGUCUUAAACAUGUGGAUAUGAUUCACGAAGUCAGGUUCUUAGCCAAGGCCACUUCCUGAUGUUUAGAGGUCGAAUCAUUAUAAUGCAGUGAAAUUUUAAACUUGUAGCAGUAAUUUUUUGUAGACAAAACAUUCUUGAAUGAGAUAAUUUUUCUGCCUGUAAUGUGAAUGUAGAUCCUAGAAAUUAUCUCUUGAAUAUUCAAUCUACAAAGAACCAUGAACAAUGUAUUACAAAGCCACAAACAAAAGGGGGAAAAAAAACUGGAUACUAGUAGUUUUUUUUAAUGUCAAAUUCAAGAAAUGUUAUGUAAAUACAGCAUCAGGAGCAAGCUUAAAAGUUCAAAUACAGAGGCAAAUAACUACUUUAAUCAUUCAUUACUAAUUACAUCAGAAGUGAAUCAACGAAGUGAAAUACAACUCAAUAAAAGAUGCAUUGUCCAAAUAGAAUGAAAUUAUAUAAUGCAGUUCACGUGAUCAGAUUUAGGAAUCACACAAAUGCAAGGAAAGGUAUAAUUAUUUCUUCAAAAUACCAACCAAGAAAAAGAAAAAAAACAAAAAAACAAAAUUGCAGCCCCCUGUAUGCAGAAUGUCUGUAAAUAAUGCAAUCCAGGAUCAGAAUCAUCAGAAUCCCAAAACACUCACUUUUUGCAAUUGAAAGCAAGAGAAGCCUUCGCAAGCUUCUGUUUCUACCGUGAGAGUAAGCGGUAAGCCACUCACUCAAUCCUAAUCAACUCAUCCUUCAAAAAGCCUCUACUAUUCCAUUUGUUAUUAUUAUUAUUUAAUUAAUUUCACAAAUAUUAGGGGAGCAAAUGCGAUUCAUAAGUAGCAGCAGUAAAUUUAUUUUUUCUUUAAAUAAAAAAACAAAUAUCGAUCAUAAUCCAAAUCCCACAACACAAUUCAAAUCGUCGGAUGUCCAGAACCAUCAAGUUACAGAAAACUUCAUUUGACGAAUAUAAUGCAGGAAGAACGUUGAAUGUAAAGGAAAAUGCGCUUACCGUUGAGUUGAGCAGUAAAAGAUAUUUGAGAAUCCUCCCCUAGACGGCUUCAAUAUAUACAAAAUAUUUGAAAAUCCUGCACUUUGUUCGCGAUUGCUGAGGUGAUGGGUAGAUGCGUGGCAGAGCGAUGCCGGAGACGGUGGUGGAAGAGGGAAAAUGUUAGGGUGGAGGUGAAGGGGAUGACGCAGAGCAAUUAGAUUAGAGGUACUUGCGGUUGAGGAAAAGUGUCUAAUUAGAUAGCGAGAGAGGGCCGCUUACCUAGUUGACCCGGUUUUAAUUUUUUACCCGCUAGGAUCCGCGUACUAACCCGAAUAGGAGGUGAAAUUAUGGAAUUAGAAUUGUAAUUCUUAGGUCUUACUAAAGAAUUGAAUUUGUGGAAUUGAUGGCUCAUAGAAUUCAAAUUGAAUUCUAAUUCUCUCACAUAGAUAGCGUCCAAACCGAAGAUUUGGAAUUGAUGCUCCAAUUCUAAUUCUAAGCCUCCAAUUCUAUGGGAACCAAACACACCCUUAUUGUAUUUGCGUAGUUAAAAUAUUCACACUCGAUCUUGCAUUUAAUUGAGAGUAAAGAAUUUGGUCAGAAUUGCAAUCGGUUCAUUAAACCGGCUAGUUCAUUAAAACCCAUUUAACCAGUUGGCCGUUAAAUUGAUUGCCUCCGCUGAAUUUAUGUAAACGGUAUUUUGCACCAAACAGGCAGCAAGCAGACUAGUCGAGAGUGUUUUAAUAUUGAAUGCAUUAUUUCUAAAAACUGCCAAGUAUAACGUGGGGUAUAUGUUUAUUAAAUAUAAAUUGAGGGAAAUGCUAUUUCUCAUUUUAAUUAUAUAGUUUUCAUUAAUUAGACUAUAUGAUAAAACAAAUUGUGAGAGUGCAAAAAAUAAAAAAUAGAGUCUUAAUGAAAUUUUCCUAAUGUUACAUGCUAAGUGAAUAACAUAAAUUUAAAGUGUAGCUAUAAAAUUAAAAAGAAUUUGUUAUUAGCUAUGUCCCAAUCACCGAAAAAUAAUUUUCACUCUAGCCACUACAUACAUAGGUGGUACACCUAAUAGAAAUUCGAGGAGUGACAAGUUCUAUUUCUCCCCAUUUCAAGAUAAAAUGAUUAUUUCAAGGUUUUUUUACACCAUAUUAUAAUUUAUUUAUACCGCAAUUCCAAGUUAUUUAUACACAAAGACAAAUUUGUUUGGAAUAGAAAUUAGUAAGGCCCCAUCCACCACCUAAUAAGUUGGCACCACCAGGCUUUGUUUUUCACGCUAUUAGCUAUAACUACAUUGGAUGGCGAAACUAUAAAAGUUGCUAUGGGAUUUACAUUUAUUUUUCAUUUUCCCUUCCUUCUUCUUCUAUUUUCUUCCCACUCUCUCCAUUUCUUCUAGCAUUGCUUUUAACUUUCUUAUUUUUAACUAAAAAUACGAGACAAAUAGGUAAGUGAACAUUAAUUCCCUAUUAAAAAAAUAGUUUAUUACAAAAUCUAAAUAUUGAAUUUGAAACUUAUUCGUCAGUAUAAAACCUACUUACCAAAUAUUCCUUAAACUUUAAAUAGUUAAUGCAAGAAACGUUUGGGGUCUAUCGUGUUGGCUUGUGAGAAAAAAGUGAAAAAACACUUUUUGUGGAAUAGACCCUUUUACCUCUGCACCGUCUAAAAUUGUCGUGGACUACAAUAAAAGAUGCAAAGAAUGUCAUCAAAAGCUGUAGACAGUAGAUUAUUUGGGAUUUUUUUAAGGUUACUUUGUAAGAUUGCAUAAAUAUGAAAUAAGUGUUUGGAUAGAAAGUAAAUCGUGUAAACUAUCGUUUGGACAGGUGCUCAUUAUUGAAUUUAAUCAGUUGACUUUGACUUUGACAAUUUUGACUUUUACGACUUAAAAUAUAAACCGAUUCACACUUAAUACAGAUACCGUACACAUUAAUUUAUUAGCUUGGAAGAAGAGGCCAUUUUAAGUACACUCCAUCCAUCAAUUGUACUGUUACUAACAAUUAUUUAUCGGUGAAUUCAAAAAACACCUAGUGGCAUCAUCGCCCCUGUGCUGCGUACAUUUGAGUCACUAUGUAGUCUCGCUUGGCCAUCUAUUCUGCAAGCUCUGCAAGAGAUACAUUCAAUGCGAACGGUUGUGGUACUGGACCCCUACUUCUGGCUCUUCAUUUAAAUGCACAUCCUCUGCUUCGAACCGUUGAAAAUGGUCAUCUUCUGGCUGGUGCAUCCUUAAAAAGUUGUGUAGCGCACAACAAGCAAUGACUAUAGUUAUUUGAGUGCUCAUGUAGAAAUUAUCUACCGGACCCUUUAAAAAUUUGAAUCUUUUCUUUAGCACACCGAACGUACGCUCAAUGACAUUUCAAAGCUGAGAAUGCCGAGUAUUGAACAAGCUCUUUGUCGGUGAUUUGGGGCCCACGUUUUUAUACGGGGGCAUGAAGCCAAGAACAUUCCUAUAUGCCGCAUCAACUAAGUAGUAGUUGCCUAAUUGAAAAAGUGAAAAUAAGUUAAUCAAACAUGCCAAGUGACGGGAGUUUAGCAUUUAAAGCAUUUCAUUUAUUGACUUGGAAAAUCUUGAGGAUUAAUUACCAGGUUGCGGCAGUGAAAAAUCGGACGGAUAUGCUAAUGCAGACUCCAAUACUUGCGCAUCAUGUGUACUUUCCUCCCAUCCAGCAUACACAUAGAUGAAGCGCAUGUCAUGGUCACACACUGCCAGAAUUUUGUGAUUGAAACCUGUGCCGAUUUGUAUAUGCCAUUUGCUCGCCUGUCGAGGACACUGAGAUGUGGGUGCCAUCCAUUGCUCCUGCGGCAUCCUAAUAUUCAUGAAAAACACAUAUUAGUCAUUUAGUUUGUAAUAACAGAACAACAGCAACCCCUAUGAUAAAAGCACUUCUGUAUACAUUACCUUGAACCACGGAUAAAAAAUUGUUGAGUUUGCAAUUCGUGGAUUAACUGUAGUCUGGUCACCCAAUCGUAUUAUUUCAGCUGCAAAUAGACACAGGCCUCGGAGCACCUUUUUUAUAUUUCGGUUAAUCGUCUCGAUGGAUCGAUCAAAAAUACUCCCCAACACACGGUGCAUAUGCUUGUGGCUCACCAACAUUAAGGUCAUAGCUAGCGCCUCCUAUAUGGGCACGCGGUGUUGGUAGUUGUGUGGAACGUACUGGCGCUCCACAAGGAGAUCUAAAAGUUGCAGAAAAUUAUCAACUGUGAUACGCAUGUUGUCUAUUGAUCGUCUAUGAUGACUGUUCAGUAAUCGCUCCACCCAUUGUAUAUUCGUGACCGAGCCAUCAUGUUGCGGAAUUGGUUGAUUGUUCCUUAUGUGUGCAAGAGACGGAUGCAUUAACAUUAACGAGGCACUCAUAAGUAGUAAGGCCUCAUCUUCCUCAUCUUGCCUCAUGCGAUCUGAAUUGCAUCCCCUAACACCCCGGCGGUUGUUUCAUGCCAUGAUAAUUGAGUAUAUAUCUGUAUAUAUUUUUAUAAGUGUGUUUUCAUGUGUGUAUAUCUAAUUCCAUAAACUUAUUUAUAUACGUGUUUGUGUAUAUAUAUAUAUAUAUAUAUAUAUAUAUAUAUAUAUAUAUAUAUAUAUAUAUAUAUACAAAAUUGAUAACCAGCACAUAAAAUGCCAUUUACUUAAAAAAACUCAGCACAUUAAUGAUGACAUCAAAGUUUUCAUCCUCGUUUCGUACUAAAAAUGGCAUAAAGAGAUUUGUUUGCACCAAGGACCAAAAAGUAAAAAAAAUUAUGCAGUCGAUGGCUUUUAUAUCAUAGGGAUUAUUUGGAUUUUGCAUGAUACAUAUUCAAAUUGACUAUUUCAAUUCAAUUUUUGACGUUCAAAUUUGUAUAACGCAUAGAGUAUAAAAGUUUUCCAUACAAGAAAGAAAGAAACACAGAAAUUGCAAUUAAGGGUGACUGGGCAGCAUACGUCUGGGUUAGAUUUCAUUUCACUUUUGAAUUUACUACUUACCUAAUGUGCUUGAUAACCACCACGUAUUUUGCAGAUUGCUACACUGAUCUAGUGUCUCUGACAAACUAUCUAGAAGUGCAAAAAUGUGAAAUAUGUUGGUUUUGAAAGAAAUCCUUUAGAUUUUUUUGUUCAACUUGAGCAGUUUGUAACUCAAGAAACCCACUUAAAAACAAACUCCAACAAAUGUGCUAGUCCAAAUAGUUCAUUGUGAGUUGAUAUGAUCAAUUAAUCCAUUUUAAAUAAAUGGGCAUUGCACCUUUAAUUUGAUUUAAGACCCACAUAAAAUUGGUGCAAUUUGUAGGCCGAAAUGUUAGUUGAUUUUUCAUUAUUUAAUUUAAGUUAAUCAAUACCAAUUUAUUUUAUUUCAAUAUUGACUAAAUAAAUUAUUUUUUUAUUUUUUCAUUUUUCCCUAGUAGGGAAGGAUGGAAUUUAAGAGGCCAAGAUUGAGCUUAUGGUCUGUUUGGUUCACAGACUGGAUGAGAUGGGAUGACUCAUCCUUGGAUUAUUAAUCCUGGGUUGAGUUAUCCCGGAUAAAUAAUCCAAGUUAUCUAGUGUUUGAUUGGUUCUUAUAUGUUGGAAAAUAAUCCUAUCUUGUGUUUGGUUGGAGAGUGGAUGAGGAAGGAUUACUAUUUUAAUGACCAAAGCAUCCCUUAAUUUGUAGAUUCUUUUUAAUACAAUAAUUUAAUAUUUUAUAAAAUAUUAAUAAAAUAAUUUAAUAUUUAUAAAUUUUAUUAAAAUAGAGUAGUUUAAAACUUUAUAAUUAUAAAGUAUACCAAGGGUUUUGAUAUAUAAAAAUUUGUAUUCACUCAAACUUAGCCCAUUCAACCCCUUAAAAAUAGAUUUUGACCAAGCUUUUGAACCUAAAUUUGAAAUUCAAUUAAAUAAUGGGCCAAGUUUUGGCAAAAUUGAGGUUAAAUCGAUUAAAACCUAAUUCAUUUAAGAGCUUUCACUGAGCCGAAUUCAGGCUAAUAUAGAAGAUUUUUCUUUGGAUCGGGUUUGAGCUUGUUGAAGUCCUCAUUCACAAAGUCCAAUUGAAAAGAAUAUAUAUUUAUAUAAAUUUCAUUUAGAAAAUAAGGUUAGUAAGGGUAAUUUAGUCCAAGGGCAAUAUAGUCCUUAUAUUAUGAUAUUAGUAUGGCAAACUAGCCAAAAAUUUUUAAUUAGCUAAUAGGGGUAAGUCAAAAUUUUUAAAAUAAUGAAUAGGGGCAAAUUAGUCAAAAAUUUUAAUAGAAUUAGUAAGGACUAAUUGGUCUAUUUAUUAUGAUAUUAUUAUGUGAGAGUAUGGUAAUAUAAUAGCUAAUUUGAAUUUGAAUCAUUCAUAAGGAUAAAUUAGCCCAAAUAUUGUUAUAUUGGUAGUAGGGGCAAAUUAGUCAAAAAAACUUUAAAAUUAAAUAGUAGGGGCAAAUUAGUCCAUUCAUAUUAUAUUAUCAUGUGAGAGUAGGAUUAUAUAAUUAUAAGAGUAUAAUUUGUAUUUUUUGUAAGGAUAAAUUAGUCUAAAAUUUUAUCAUUCUAUAUGUUAAUCAUCUCAGGAUGACUAAUCCCAUCUCCCCCAUGAGAUUAUUUUAUCCCAUGAAUAGGGGAUUAAUUCGAUUAAGUAAGAUGUGUCAUCUCAUAUAUAAAAUGUAACCAAAUAUGGGAUGACACAGGAUGAUUAGCCCAAUCCCGUGUCAUUGUAUGAACCAGACGGACCCUUAAUACCUAGAGGUCCUGAGGCCUUUUUUUUUUCGGUCUACACAUUACUUGUAGAUUCUUUGUAACUCACACAAAAAGGACAAAUAGAAUAUAAACAAGAAUUACUAUAAUAUAGGAUAAGUUAUUAUAAGGUAACAUAACAUCAAAUUUCAGAAAUAAAAAUAUGUAGCCACUGUUCAGUAAGCAUAAUAUUUUAAGUAAAGUCGAGAAAAAUGAAUCCAAGUCUGACUAUCAUCCAGCACAAGAAGCCUCAUUUCCGCUUUUUCAACAUUCAUAGCACACAAAAAGAGAAAGUAAAAUCAUGCAUUAAUACAGUUCAUGAGUAACAUAGAAAAGGUACAUGUCCUCAUAAAAAUGGAGACAUCUAAGGAGCACAAAUCACCUAUUUAAUAUAGUUCAUUGCUGACCAAUGAGAUUUGAUAUACUCAAACAAGGGUAUACCAAUUCUGCAAUUAGACACCAUAUGCAAAUGCAAAAUUUCUAGCCUGAGAUAUGAGCAGCCGCAUUUCCUACUCUGUUGUACACAACUAUACAACUGCACCACCUUGAAAGAAAGCUUGUAAAGAAAGCUAUACAGCAAUUUUGCAGCAACUAGUUCUGUUUCAGUCUCCUCUGUCUUUCUCAAUUACCACAGAGCUCAGCAUUUAACUUGGUUACAGAGUCCGCAAGGGGUAUAACUUGAAGCACAGAUCCAAAACUUCUCCUGAACAACAAAAGAGGAGGUCAGCAAGGAUGAAACUUCCAAGCAUCAGAAAACUGAACUUCAAGAGGUUUAAAUAAUGCAUAACAAAUAUCUACUGUUCAAUGAGAAGUGGACAAACUCAUGCCAUAAGAAAGGAAAGCAUCCACCAAAACUAUUUGGGAUGACUAGAUAGAUCCACAUACAAAAUGUAGGAGUACCUUAGAUAAUCACCAUCCAACCCAGCAACUAUUACAGUCUUGCCAUCACGGUAAGCAGCUUCACAGCAAAAAUCAUAAAGGUCUUCAAAAAAUUGUGCUUCGUCUAUACCAAUAACUUCAAGAUGAUGGUGUACUAUAAAAUAGGACUGUCAUAAUGGUCAGAUGAAAAAUUAUUUUAAGUUUUAUGUUCCUUCUAAAAUAUGUCGUCAUUUAGCAUUCUUGCAAGAUAGUACAUGGCAAACCAAACAUCAUAUGCAUGCUCAGGCAGUUGGUACCAGACCAAGAUGCAGCACUAAUUCUCAAGUACAAGGUCAAUUUCAACAGAGCAUACCUUCUCAUAUGCCUCAGUACCAAGCUUUUGUCUGAAUGAUGAAAGAUUCGCCAACGGCCAGCAUUGCAAUUUUUCUCCAUCAUGUGUAAAAAUUCAAUCCAAUGCGUAUCCAGUGUCCUUAUUUGAUUUUAUAACUGCAACACUGCUGCAAAAAACCAAUUAGAAAAGAAUGAGAAAGACAAAGGCAAUGUUUACGUCAACAAGUAUCCUUGCUAUCCAGAAGUUACAGUUCCAGCAGGUUGAAUAGCAAUGUCAAAUGUACUAAAUCAGUAUCGAGUUCUAAUCUAUUUCCCAAAACAGUUUUGUGUAAAGGAGAUCCCUGGACAUCAUUAUAGUAAUUGAAGACAUGAUGUUCAAAAGCCAACCUUCAUGCCAAGGCUGCCAGCAAAAUACCAAAAGGAAUAAACUAAAUACGCCCAAAAGACAACUGAAUAAAAACCCCAAAACAGCUAAAGGUGACCAGAAUUUAGAAUUUUUUACUUGGUUGAAGCUUGGUUCAAUUUCCAUCAUGUGUAUUUCAAUAUUCUCUUAUAUGGACAAUAAUCAAACGGAGGGUAAGGAAUUUUCUUUUUCGUCUUUUCAAUAGAACAAUAGAACAUGCCGAUUUCCUCUUCAUAUCGUUCCAGCAACGAAUCAGAUAACAGUUUCAGAACACCUACCAAGCCUCAAUUAAGCAUGCCCUAUAAAUUGAAGAUAAAAAGACAGUCACCCAACUUAAAUCAGGAAUUCAGACAAUAAAGAAUCUGUUUUACAAACCACCAGAAAACAGUGAACUUGAGUUAUGAACUUUACAUUGACGCAUACAUUUGUUUGUUGACACCGUGCACUCAAGACAAUGCCACUGUUUAACUUCACUUGCUCAAAAUACUUCCGCUUUGAAGUCCUCUAAAACUAGUGCUAAUUAAAUACAGUGUUUUUUUUUUUUUUUUUUUUGUCGACGGGGUGGGGUGUCCGGGUCAAGUCCGUAAAGGCGGCCCGACUAAUCCCCACUCCGGCCCGGUCCAGCGCCCCAACCAGACCUAGCACGUUAAAUGCACGGCGAACUGAUGUUGCUGCGGAGAUUCGACCCCAGGACCUAACGGUCCCGAGGAGGAGGCGCCAACACCAGCCCAUUCACGUGGGGGCAAAUACAGUGUUUAUUCAAUUAACUUAUUUUACACUUUUAGGUAAAAUGUAAUUACAUGACAUAAUGUUUAUCCAAUUUUCAAAUUCAACCUGUGUAUAUGUGGUCAUGGCAUGCAUCCAAACCCGCUCAUGUAAAGAUUAAUCCUAACUUACAUCAUGUUUAAAGUUUAUUGAAUAGCUUUUUCAUUUCUUUUUUAUGAAGGUUAUGAUGAUUUACUUUGAUACAGUACUAUGCAAUUCUUACCAAAAAGAGUACUAGGAAUUGGCCAAAUUCUAUAUCAAACAGGCUAAUACCGUAAACGGUUUAGAAAUUUGUAUUGAAAAAGGAAAAACAAAAAGAAAAGAAAGAAACUUUAUGGCUUCUUUCAAUAUAUCCCCACAAGAUAGUCAUAUCAAGAAAUGGGGUGAGCAGAGUGUGAAAGUAUAAAAUUAUCACCCAUGGCCAAAACAUUGUAUAUUUUUUCAAAAAAAAAAAAGAGUAGUCCAUUUAAAUAAUUCUUUUCAAAUACAGAGCAACCUAGAUCUUCACAACAUCCCAAUUCUAAUGAUGAUUGUAAUAAUGCUGCACAACAGCAAGAAUCAGUUGUAGAUGAGCUAGGCAGACAAUAACAAACAGUUGGGAUGGAUCCAUGGUCACAACAAUCAGGACUUGAAACUGAAUUUGAACAUCAGCAGCAGCCUGAGACAAAAGAAGAACAACCCACGGAUGUGGGAACUGGAAACCAACAGUCGCGGAGGAAGAAGCAAGUUAGAAGGAGAAGAAACAACAAUAGAGCAUCAGGAGAAGAGGCAGCUCCUCAUUUAGAUGAUGUCCAUGCAUUAGAUAAAGACACAGUGGUGACUGAAUUGCAUAGUGAUGCUGGCUCCUCAGAUGAAGAGAAUGAUGAUGACUGGAGGAAUAGGUAUGUUGAUUUCAAUCCGGAGAGAGAUCUAAAAGACCCUAAUUUUGAGUUUCACAUAGGAAUGAAGUUUUGAGUCAGCUGAACAGCUAAGAUUAGCUGUUAGAACAUAUUCCAUCAUGAAAGGAAAACCAGUAAGCCAUACACAAAUGAAAAAAAAAAGGUUUAGAGCAAAAUGCAAAACCUCCUUGCCAAUGGUUUGUUUAUGCUUCAGUUGAGAGGGAACUUGGAAUAGCUGAUUUGGUUGUCAAGAGCAUGAAUAAUGAGCACACAAACUGCAGUCAUGUAUGGAAGAACAAGAAUAUUUCUGCUAAGUGGCUUGCAAACAAGUACAUGGAGAGAUUUAGAUGUAAUGUUGAAAUGCCUCCAAGAUUAUUAAGACAAAUAGUUGAUGAGGACUUCAAAGCUGAAAUUUCAAAAUGGGUGGCAUACAAUGCAAGGGCAAUUGCUAAAAAGGAGAUUCAAGGGAAUGCAGAGCAGCAAUAUACGGACAUAUGGAGAUAUUGUGCAGAAAUUAAGAGGACACACCCAAAUACCACAAUGGAAGUUAUGUUUACUCCCUUCAGACAACCUGGAUGCAACCCAAAAUUCAUGAGACUUUAUUGCUAUUUGGGACCAUUAAAACAAGGCUUUCUUGACGGUUGUAGGCCCAUUAUUGGGGUUGAUGGAUGCCACAUAAAGGCUGAAUAUCGGGGACAGCUGUUGACUGCUAUUGGAGUAGAUCCCAACAAUGGAUGGUGGCCCAUUGCUUGGGCAGUGGUUGAGAGGGAAGCAACUGAACAGUGGAAAUGGUUUUUUGAGCUGCUGAAGAAUGACUUGCAGAUUGAAAAUGGGUACAGCUACACCUUUGUUUCUGACCAGCAGAAGGUAUUAACUCCUUCCCUUUGUAUAUGCACAGUACACAGAUCUGUUUCAAUUUACUAAUGCCUUUUGUUUGUAAUAAUUUAUAGGGUCUUGACCGAGCAUUAUCUGAGGUACUACCAAACAGUGAGCACAGAUACUGUGUGCAGCACCUGUAUAACAACUUCAAGAAGAAACAUCGUGGACUUGCCCUGAAGACAAAACUGUGGAACAUUGCAGCAAGUACUACUGAGGGACUAUUCAAGAAAGCAACAGCAGAUCUGGAAAAAUUUGACAAGGAAGCAUAUGAAUGGGUGAAGAAAGCACCACAUCCCAGUCAUUGGUGUAAGACUUUUUUUCAGAACAUACUCGAUGCGAUAUGUUGGUUAAUAAUUUGUGUGAAAGUUUUAAUGGUCAUAUACUUGAAGCUAGGCAGCAGUCAAUUAUCAAAAUGUUAGAGUCCAUUAGGAUAUUUCUGAUGGAAAGGAUACAGAGAAGGACAACUGCAAUGGAGAAGUUUGAAUUGUCCAUUGGCCCACUAAUCACAAUCUGCUGUUGAGGAAAGUGAACAUCCACAGCAUCGACAGCAGGAAGAAGUUGUACAAAACCAACAACAGUCUCAGAGCCAAGGGGCUCAUCAACAAAGGAAAGCAGGAAAACGAAAGUUAACAGAUUCAGAAAAGGGGCGGAUCAAUGCCAAUUAUGCAUAUUUAGGUAAAGAACCUCCUUUCACUGUUGGAAAUUGGAGUAGAGCUGGUACUAGAAGAGGAGGAACUUCAGCAACAACUACCAGAGGACAACCAAGAGUCAAAAGAGGAUCAAAUUGAAGAGGAAGUAAAGCUAUAGCUAGAUUGAGACAUAAUUCAACUACAUUUUGUCUUUUUGUAUGAAGUUUGUUUUGGAUUUGAUAUGCUGACCUAUUACGAACAUGGUCCAUAUGUACAAACAAUUUAUUUUGUCCAAUCUACACAGAUUGUUCUAUGUUAAUGCAGCACUUUUGUUUAGUUCUUAUGUCUCUGUCAUUUAUUGAUGAAAUUAGUAGAACUGAAAUGUGUUGUUUCAAACCUUUUUUGACACCAAAUAAUAACUAUUUAUUCAUGUGAACAAUACAACUUUUAUACAUCAAAAUGUUUAUACAGAGGGGUACAAAAGGGGCUUUAUAAAGCCAUUUGCCCUUUCCCUUUCAAUAUGCUACCAUUACAACAGAGUAGCUAUUCUUCAAGGAUUUUCAACGAUGCCACAAAUUUGUAGCAUGCCACCAGAAUUAUCUAUUCUCAUAACUAACAUUGCUAAGACAACUAUUAGCCAAGGCAACACUGCGCAUCGAAUGAGUCGCUUAUUGGCUGAUUUGUACUUGGCAAUUUCAGUUUGAAGUGGCUUCAUUUUACC
rnacentral:lncRNA from 1 species